CUCAGUCAAAUUGGACUCCAGUUCCUUCCUGGUCCGUCCAAGGUAAACUGAUGGCUCGUGCUAGGCGUUAAAUCUUGUGGAUCUCAGUUUCUUAUAUAUCAAUCUGAAACCAUCAAUUUGCAAAUUCUUCCUUGCUUAUGUUACCUCAUGGGUGAGAAUGGACAACUUGAUUAAUUGUUUCUCAGGCUUUACCUGAUACACUAUGAUGAGUCUAUACUAGAACUGGAAUUGGUUUUUUAAAGUUAAAUGUUGUAUGAGAUGCUAUAGUUUGUCAUUUUGUACCGUAACUUAUCAUGUAUCUACGUGGCCCAUACAAUACAGUUAUGAGCAACUGAAGGUUUCAUAUCACCAAUGUUUUACAAAAGUAAAAGGUUUCUGUUUGGUGGGCAUAUUACGUCAAUAUAGUUUUAUUGUGGAUUACACAAGGGCCAUGACAUGGCAUGUGCCUGGUGCUCUUUAAGCUGCUUAUCUUGAAGAUAAGCAAAGUUCUGUUCGGUCCAAUGAUGUUUUCUGUUGUUGGGUUACUCAGGCAAGAUCGAUUGUGUUCGGUUCAUAAUCACUUAGUCACCUAGCCCACCUGUCAUGCUCUUUUGGCUAAAUUGCCACAAUUGUGUCCAUCACACUUCGGCCAACCAAGUAACCAUAUGCCAUGACUCUCGGUCCAUAUUCCUUUGUAUGUGGGCGCCGCGCGGGGUUGCGGUGGUAGGAUUCCUUGCGGUUUCAGGCGAGGCUCGCGUUGGCAGGGGAGGGAUGCGCGGAACUGCCCGCCGGGCGUCCUGAUUUCCGGUGGAUGCUUUGGAAUUGUGAAGAUCUUUUUGGUUGUGUUCUGCCGUACCGUGUCCUCAUCGGUGGCUGGUGCGUGUACCCGCAGCCCGUGGCAGAUAUUAGGGGAUCUCUCCGUCUAACCGUGCCGCCGGAGAGGAUGGAGGAAACGGCGAGGAGUCAUUUUUUUUAGAAUGGGGCAUGGGAGGAUUCGAGUGGAGGAGGAAGAUGGCGAGAUGAUGAGUCUUAAUGGUGAUGGUGUUUGAGGUUGGUAGUGGGCCUCUUAAUUGUGUUAGAUGUACAUUAUGGAGGCCCAGUUGGGAAAGCCCACUGAGAGCCACUGCUGUCUGACGGGCGGCGCACACAGAGGGCCCCUCUAGGAGACGGAGAGGGAGAUGGCGGUGGCUGCAGGUGCAGCGUGGUAUCGUAUUCGCGGUCAGCGGUGGCGAGAGCGCGCCGCGUAGGAGGAUGGUUGGGAGGCGGAGCGACAGGCAGCGUCGUGGCGCAUGGCUGCACCCGCACGGGUGAAGCAGCAGCCGCUAGGGAGCUGAGGCAAGCCGCAAUCGUCCCUUAGUUUCUGUAUACUUCUCUUGUCAGCUGUCACCGUAAUUGUCAAUAUAAAUUGCCAAUUUUGGUUGCUAAUCCCGCAGGUUAGAACAGUAGGCCGAAAAACGUUGUAUCAGCCGCUUUGGCUCUUCUUCUAAGAAAAUGAUGCAUCUUUCCAUGUUUAUUCUAGAAAGUAGGAAAUGCUAGCUCUGUAAAAUUAUUCUCAGAUGGUGCGACACUGCAACUGCUCCGUACAAAUGUGCAACUCAAGCAGAAAUAUUGGGCGUGCGCUAGUUCAGAGGAAAUUAUUUGGCCAUGACCCUAAAAACAGGAACCUAUUUGCCCAUUGCAAUGUUUUUCAAAUUUAUCCAUGAAUUUGAAUUGGAUUGGAUUAGAUUGCAUGACAUAGUAGUUAAAUGGAUGUUUGGUUUGUCUACACAAAGACCGGUAUAUUUGAUUCAAGUCAUUGCCGCAUCAUCCUUGCAUUUCCCCUGUCAGUUUACCAGUGUGAUUAUAUUAGUGUAUUUUCCUUGGCAUUUAUGGCAAUGUCCCUCAAUGUAUCCAUGAAAUGCUAGUUUUAUUUGCGUGCACUCUAAUAUGUUUUUGGGAUUCUAUUUCUGCUCAGAUACGUUUAAGAUACUGUUCCUCUAUGCAUAGGAUACAAUGCUUAUAAUAUAUAGCUGUUUAGCUGCUAACGCAUCACACUGGUGUGUGGUUUCGCAGAUUCACACGGCAAUCAUUUUGUACAACUACUCUGACCAUGAGUAAUGUUAAUGUAACAUAUAAUGGAUCUUUCCAUUUUAUGGCUUCUCCUUACGUUUUCAACCCCAGUCUCUCGAAUCCUUGGCGCUUAAUAGAAAAAACACUGUGCUAGUCAAUGUAGGUUAUGAGGAAUGGCCUGGCAUGAAUGAGCCUACCCAGUCUUAUCUUGUGUAACUUCACAGUUGAAGUAGUAAUAAUUGCAACAGGUUUUUGAUGUUCACCUAGUUUCUUGACCUCGAUUCUUUGUGUAAUCCUCUGGUUAUUCGAUUAUGCCUUAAUGCAUUAUAGUAGACACUCUAAUUUAGCUGUUGGAUUCUUUCUGCGCCGAGCUAUUUUCCCAUCAUGCCUUAUCUGGAUGCCUCUAAUGUAUUCUCCGCUCUGGUCAUGUCAUACGCCUAUUUGAGAUAUUGUUUUGUAGACUAAUACAUGUUUGGAUUUGUUAACGAGAAUCUAGAACAGAAGCAUGACAGAUUAUUGUUUCCUCCAAAAGGGGAAGCACCACUUUUUUUAGAUGCAUUGUUGCCAUGCAUUAUAAAAAUGACAGGUAUGCGAGGAUAAACAAUGGUAGGAUGUGGUUCAUGCAGUUUGUGCUCAAACAUUUUUUGUUUUUGAAACAGAAUAAUUUGUGCAAAAAUUUGAUCAAUAAGCUGGUCUGUUCAACCAACGGUUGGAUGUUUUGCCUUUUUGUGAGAAUUUAUAGUCUACUUUUCUAUCUCUACCAUGUUGUGCUUUUAGUAUAAAUAGAUAGAUGAUGUGACCUGGCAAUAUUGCACAGAACAUGGGUUUAGUAACAAAUAUAGAACUUUGGCUUAUCAUUAUUUUCAAUGUUUUUCAUGGCAUUCAUGAAAUUUAAAUGUAUCAUUGGAAUUGAGUUAUCUCAUGUCAGGCAUCAAGGUCAAGACCAUAUUUCUGUGAAAUGCGUUGAAAGGAUUCUGACGAUAUUGUCGUUGGUGAUGUUAAGAGUCGCUGAAGAACUCAUUGCGUUAGACAUUGCUAUUCAUCCAAGACAUGAAAAGCAAAUGAGACCACAUCAGUUGGCAGGUUUCCACUUUCUGGUUGUUUCACGAGUAUUGUUCUUUGCUAUGCUGGAUACGGUCAUGGGUAUUAUUGUGGUGAUCUGUUUCCUGCUAGUACAUUGUUGUUUGCAAGCUUGUAUAUUUGUAGGUAUUGAAGCAACUUUGCUCUUUGAAAUGCUAGUGUGAAUAUAGUUUGCCCAGUUGAAGUAUUUCCACUGCCCUUUACACUCACAUCACCUUUGUGUUUUUCUUUCCUUUAGAGACUCCUUUUCUGGGUAUUCUGUGCAUGAUUAGAAGCAAAGAACAGUAUUUGAAUUUGGACUGAAUUUACUGUAGGUGAUAUUUCUAGUGUAUCUCUAGUAGCUACUCCCUCCGUCCGGAAAUACUUGUCGUGGAAAUGGAUACAAAUGGAUGUAUUUAGAACUAAAAUACAUUUAGAUACAUCCAUUCCUCGGACAAGUAUUUCCGAACAGAGGGGGUACUAGCUACUAGCUUUAUGCAUAAAGUUUCAUUACUACUUAAAUUGGAUUUUACCAGGUGAAAUACAGAGCUCGAUGCCAAAAAUGAGGAUACCUAGUAAACCUAGGAGAAAUAUUUGAUGAAUAAGGUGCCUCUUUGUUCAGCAAUUACUAUGCUUGUGUUAAACAAUUAGUGGGUUGACUACUACAUAAUGGCCGUUGCAUUUUAUGAUCAUUAUAGUUCUCCACAUGUAACUGUCCGUGCUUCUACUUAUGAUUGCCUUGUACGCAUCCCACGUUUUUCUUGUCCACCUUGCAUGGGGCUUAUAUGCAACAUCAGCAGAAGUGCUAUUUCCAUUGCUGGUGCAAAUUUUUUUCUUCUCUGUUAUAUGAUAAUAACUAAUUAGUCAUCUGUUUCUGUAGGCAUGUAUUACCGCAGAAAAAGAAAGCCUUCCGACCCCAUCAAUAAUCUUUCACUUACUGCAAAUACGAUUUGCAGUUGGAGAUGUGGCAGUGUUACCGAGGAGUGGGACAGCUUGUAUGCUCAGAAGGUCCAAUUGUUAACUUUGCUUUCUACUCUGCCCGAGCCCGCUCUGAGUUAUGGGCCGAGUGUUCAAACCAAUAUGGCCAAUUCUAUUGAGCAAAGAGAACAGAAAAAGAGUGACAUAAUAGUUCUUGAUUUGGAUGAUGAUGAUGAAAGCACAGGAGCACACAAACAACUGAUGCCUGAGAAAAACAAACAGCUCACAUCUUAGAAAAAUAAACAGCUGAUAUAUCAGAACAGGCUGGUGCUCUCAUGAGGGUGGUAACCGAAGGAAUUGAUGAAGUAAAUGAGACAAUGCAUGAUAGAGACCAAAACAGUCAAAUUGUUCCAUAUAGUCCAAGUGCAACUUUAAUGAAUCAGUAUCCUUCAGCCAGCUAUCAACCAUUAGCAGUUCUGUUUGAGAGAGUUAUAUUGCAGAAAAGACCUGAGGAGGAACGUAUCCAUGAUCUAGUUGUGUGUACUUUUCACUUGCAAUUUUUUACUGAACUACUCCACGUAAUGUGGUCCUUACACUUUUCCAGAAUUACGUCGCAGAAGUGUUCAACAUCUUGAACCUUUUAUGCCCAAAGUUUCUCAAGAUAGUAGCAUAUAUCCUAUUGUUGAUAAUGAAUCAAGUAUCAAUAUCAGGUUGCAACUUUAAUGAAUCAGUAUCCUUCGGCCAGCUAUCAACCAUUAGCAGUUCUGUUUGAGAGUUAUAUUGCAGAAAAGACCUGAGGAGGAACGUAUCCAUGAUCUAGCUGUGUGUACUUUUCACUUGCAAUUUUUUACUGAACUACUCCAUGUAAUGUGGUCCUUACACUUUUCUAGAAUCACGUCGCAGAAGUGUUCAACAUCUUGAACCUUUUAUGCCCAAAGUUUCUCAAGAUAGUAGCAUAUAUCCUAUUGUUGGUAAUGAAUCAAGUAUCAAUAUCAGGUUGCAGAGUCAGUAGAAGAUGCCCUACUGCAUCAUGAUAACCACGAGAAAAGCAUAUGUCAUUAGAAGUCUUCAGAGAACUAACAAAAAUCGUGCUUCACUACUACAAGGGUGAUUCUUGGAUGAACUACGUGACCUAGUAGACUUCAGUAUCUUAAGAAAGAAAUCGUUCAUAAGUUGGAAGCCUAUGAGAAGUAAAAAAAACCGCAGUAGGAACUUCCCUGUACAUGCAUCCAUGUCUGUCAGAAAUAUUAGAAGUUGAUGCUGCAGAUAGGGCUUGCAGCUUGACAGAUGUAAUUGUUGAUAGUCUGGUCCGGUCAAUCAACGUGGCUGACGGUGUGAAAGCCAGAUUUUUCACCAAUAUCCUGGCACUUGUGGAAUCUGCGGUAGAGAAGGUCAUUGCAUUUAGUCAGUACAUUACUUCCCAUGAAUUUUUUGGAAAGUCUAUUGGUUAAGACAAGGGGCUGGCAAGUAGGAGAGUUCUUUGUGAUCCGUGGUGAUAAUAAAUCUACUUCAGAAGAUAGAGAACUGACAAUGGAUCAGUUUAACAACACUAUUGAUGCAAAAGUCCUGUUUGGCUCUACCAAGGCAUGCAGGGAGGGCAUCUCCCUGGUGGGCGCAUCAAGAGUCUUCGUUCUAGAUGUUCACUUGAACCCUUCUGUUACCCGUCAGGCAAUCGAGCGGGCGUACUGGCCUGGGAAGCAAAAGGAAGUGUUGGCUCGUAGCAGCUGAUUCUCUGGAGAACACCUAUGAAACUGCAUUCAAGAAGGAGGUGAUACCAAAGCUGUGGUUUGAAUGGAGUGAGCAGCGCUGCACGUCGGAGGACUUCCAGCUGAACGAAGUUGAUAUCGAUGACAGUGGGGAUGAGCUGCUGGAAAACAGGAUGAUAUGCUGGGACAUCAAGGCUUUUUAUAUGCAAGGUGAAGGAGGCUGGCUGUUGUACGUACACAAUGUAUAUAUGGCUUUCCGACCGUUCGAGAUUGUCAUUGUUGUCAAGUAAGGCUCCUCUAGAACCGAAAGAAAGAGGAAAAGUACUUGACUUGGUACCUCUUUACAGAUACCUUAUAUUGGUUCUUAUGGGCCUUCUCUUCCUUCAGAUGCAUCAAACACUCUACAUGUUGAAAGUCUCCCAUCCAACUGUACUAGACGGGAGCUUGCACGUAUGUAUCCCUUUAUGCAUAUGACUCUCUUGCUAUUUUUUUUUGACAUUUUGUUCAUAACUGAACUAUAUUUUAUGUUUGUCCUUACCAAUCUAUGUCUCAAUCUUUUCUUUUCUGUUUUUGUUUUCACCAUUUAGUGCAUAAGCUCCUUGACUCUUGCCUUUUACCGGGUUCUGUGAAGGCUGGUCAAAGAGGAUAUAAUAGUAGACACCUAAUAGCUUAUGAUGUCUUAGAAACUCCUGCCUCGGCGAUUUUUGCCAUGAAGUCUCUGCAAGGUGACCAUAACAUUUUUGUCAUCCUAAGUUGUGCCUCCUACAUUCUAGUAUCCUACUUUAAUACUAAUGUCACUAAAUCUUUUGAAGUGUCGUUUGCACAUCCUUUGCAUCAAUAUCAUUGUGUGCCUAAAUUGUGACUCUUAUCUGAGUACUUAUGAUAGUUGUCAAUCCUUGUUGAUUGUUUCCUUAUUUGGUUGCACAACUUUCAUGUUCUUACUGAGCUAGAGUUAACAUUCUAGAAUCUGCAUGCACGAUACAUCCAUUUGCCAUAUUCUUUUCUGCUAUGUUUCACUUCCAAUAGGUUAUGUCUUUACUAAUUUUUUAUGUAUCAUACAUCUUUCCUUAUAUGAAUUUAUCCAUUUGAUAUCCAGCAUCUGGCAGAUAGCUCUAACCUAAAUGUUGUGACAAGUGCCUCGUAUUGCUGCCACUAUUUUUCGUUUCUUUAGUAUUUUGGCACAUCAAAUUUUAUUCCCUAGAUGAUCAAUUUCGGGCUUUCUACUUUUAGCGUAAUACUUUGUAUGUGACUCACUAUUGUACUAUAGUACAUAUGUUCAAAUAUGAGCCUAUAGCAUGAAGUUGACACUUGUUCAGUUGUGGGCUUCAAACAAAAUGUGAUGCUUCCUUUUGCAGGUUAUUUGUUUGACAUACAUGACAAAUACUCGCUCAAAUUGGACCUUCAAUUAUUUGCUGGUCCGAGGUCAACUGAUGCAUCUUCGUGGGUUUUGGUUUCUUCAAUAUCAAUCUAAAACCUUCAAUUUGCAACUGCUUCCUUUGCUUUUGUUUCCUCAUGAACGAGAAUGGACAACUUGAUUGUUUCUUGGGCCUUACCUGAUAUGAUAUGAUGAGCCUAUAUUAGAAUUGGAAUUGGUAUUAUAAGUUGCAUGUUGUAUGAGAUGCUCGAGUUUGUUAUUUCAUAUUGUAACUUAUCAUGUACUCCCUCCGUCCCAUAAUGUAAGACGUUUUUUGACUCUGGUGUCAAAAAACAUCUUACAUUAUGGGAAGGAGGGAGUAUCUGCAUGACCCAUACAAGACAAUAUGCGACAGUGGAUCAAACAUUCAAACUUUUUGUGAGCAUCCAAAGGUUUUUUAUUACAAAUGUUUAACAAAAGUAAAAGUUUUAUGUUUGGUGGGCGUAUUAUGUCUGUCUCCAAUCUCAUGGAUUGACAUUAAUAUUUAGAAAAUGGAUGCCUUUUGCAAUUACUUGAGAUGGAAUUCGCCAUGGAAGAUAUCAUGUAGCUUUUGUAUGUUACAACUUGCGUUAGUGAUAUUACAUAUAGUUAAAUACUUUUUGUAUCCAAAUAGCUGGAAUAGCUCAGUUGGUUAGAGCGUGUGGCUGUUAACCACAAGGUCGGAGGUUCAAGCCCUCCUUCUAGCGAGUUUUUUUCCACUUUUCGUGCAUGUGUGAUAUAAAAAGAAAUCCAAAUGUAUUAUUUUAGUAUCAUGUAUUUGCACUAUACACUCUAAUUAUAGUUGUUGGAUUCUUCCUACACAUAGCUAUUUAUCCCAUCAUUCCUUGUAUGGAUCCCCCUAACAUAUUCUCUGCACCGGUCAUGUCAUGUGCUUAUUUCAACAUAAACUCAAGAUUGUUGGGUAAUCUAUUUAAUUUGUAUGAACAAAACAGCAUGAAAGACUGCCUGUAUAAUGAUCAAUGGCCAUAAUUAAGCAUGUAGCUUUGAAGACCUGGAGAUUUUAGUACAUGUUGAGCAUUUGAACUGCUUUUAAUUUGCGAUGAUAAAUAAUAGGGUAUUAGUAUGCCAUCUUGACAGUUGGUACAACCACUAAAGUGUUCUUGCUUUUGCCAUUCAAAUUUUGACUACAUAGAACUAGGACCCUUUUGUAUGGAAUUUAUGGAUCUAACUAAAACAAACUUUUCUACAUCUAAGGACUGUACUACAGUUUAGUUAGUCCAAUGCUUACCAUGUUUUGCCUGUGUAUAUGCAAUAUACAUUUAGUUAUAUUUCUGGUUGAAGAGAAGGGUUGGGCGAUACUAACUAUAGUGUCAAGAUGCUUGCAUUGUCUUUAACUUACUUUACAGUUGCAAUACUAGUUACUGGAUUCCAUCCCUCAUGUUUUUAGAUAUUAUGGAAUAAUGGCUAUAUCAGACCGUGAUCCCUCUACAGUCGUAGUUGUCCAAAGAAUUCUUUAUUUGGCUAUCACUGCCUAUGUACCUUGUGAGCUAGUGUUGUCGAAGAAAUCGUCAAGAAUAGAUGACUUUGUGUAUGUUGCUUCUCCUAAAAGUGGAAGCACCAUUUUUUUUAGGUGCAUUGUUGCCAUGCAUUAUAAAAAUGACAGGUAUGUGAGGAUUAACAAUGGUAGGAUGUGGAACAUGCAGUUUGUGCUCAAAUUUUUCCUUUUCUUUUCGAAACGGAACAGUUUGUGCCAAAAUUUUAUCAAUAAGCUGGUCUGUUCAACAAACGGUGGGAUGUUUUGCAUUUUUGUGAGAAUUUCAAGUCUACCUUUCUAUUUCUACAGUGUUUUACUUUUAGUAUAAAUAAAUAGAUAGAUAGAUGAUGUGGCCUGGCUACAUUACGCAAGACAUGGGUUUAGUAACAAAUAUGGAACUUUGGAUUAUCAUUAUUUUCAAUUUUUUACAUGGUAUUCAUGAAAUUUAAAUGUAUCAUUGGAACAAUCAAUUAACAUUGUGUUUACCUCAUGUGAGGCAUCAAGGUCAAGAUCAUAUUUUUGUGAAAUGCGUUCAAAGGAUUCUGAUGAUAUUGUCAUGGGUGAUGUUAGAGUCGCUGAAGAACUCAUUGCGUUAGACAUUUCUAUUCAUCCAACACAUGAAAAGCAAAUGAGAGCACAUCAGUUGGCAGGUUUCCACUUUCUGUUUAAGAAUUUAGUCUCUGACAAACCAGGAGGUACCAUUCUAGCUCAUGCCCCUGGUUCGGGGAAAACAUUUAUGCUGAUUAGUUUCAUUCAGAGCUUCCUGGCAAAGUAUCCCUCUGGAAGGCCCUCUGGAAGGCCUCUUGUUGUACUUCCAAAAGGCGUAUUAGGUACAUGGAAAAGGGAAUUUCAAUGGCGACAAGUGGAGGACAUACCACUAUAUGAUUUGUAUUUGUGAAGGGUGACAAAGCAGAUCAUUUGGAAAUCUUAACUCUUGGCAAGCCAAUAGGAGUAUCCUCAUGGUUGGAUACACUGGGUUCUCUUGGAUCAUUAACAGUGAUGGGGUUGGCACCAUUGCUUCAUGCUGGGACAUGUUGCUUAUGUUCCCUAACCUACUUAUAAUGGAUGAGGGCCAUAUAGCUCGGAAUGAGUCUGACUAAUGUGCUAGAAUCACUACGCAAAGUAUGUACUCCACGUAAGUCCUAUCUGGUACACUUUUCCAGAAUCGCAUUGCAGAAGUGUUCAACAUCUUGAACCUUGUACGCCCAAAGUUUUUCAAUAUAGUAUCAUCUUGACUGUAUAAUGAGUCAAGUAUCAAUAUCAGCUUGCAGGAUUUCAAAAGGAGUCACUGAUAAAUUCACCAAGUCAGUCAAAGAGACCCUGCUGCAAUGAUGAUAACUUCACGAGAAAAGCACAUGUCAUUAGAAGUCUCAGAGAACUAACAAAAUACGUGCUUCACUACUACAACUCUACAAGGGUGAUAUCUUGGAUAAACUACCUGGCCUAGUAGACUUCAGUGUCUUCUUGAAACUCAAUCCCAAGCAGAAAGAAAUCGUUCAUAAGUUAAAGUUGAAAGCCUUUGAGAGGUUCAAAAAACCCGCAGUAGGAACUGCCCUGUACAUGCAUCCAUGUCUGUCAGAAAUGUCAGAAGUUGAUGCUACAGAUAGGGUUUCCAGCUUGACAGAUGUAACUGUUGAUAGUCUGGUCCAGUGUAUCAUCGUGGCUGACGGUGUGAAGGCCAGAUUUUGUCAGCUGGGUUGCCGUGGCACUGUGGAUAGUAUCGCUGGCCCAGUUUGGCAUCGCAAGUGAAGGGGAGGAAGGACUGGAGACUCUUCUUCAACACGCUUUUCUGGAACCUCGACUAGUGGGAUAGCGCAAGCACCAUGGCGGCAAGGUGGAGCGGCCGGAGCGGAUGUUCCUCCGGCGCUGGCGGUGGCGGUUGUUCUGAUCGCUGUCGAUUUGCGGUGCUGCCGCUUAUGGCCGCCACAGGCACCACGGACGCACCGUCGGAUACCUGGGUCAAUGGCUACUUGGCCGAUGCCGCAGGCGCGUACAAACGCUUCUUAGUAUCAGAAUUAUUACAGGUUGUUCUUAUCGUUGUGAGGCAAAAGUUUUUCGUCAUUUUGUUUGUUCUCAUUCUCAUUCGCUUUCUUUGGUUUUAUCAUGUGCCUACAUAAACGUCUUAUAUAUCUUGAGACGGAGGUAAUAGCAAUCAUCUAUCUUAUAUAUGCAUUAGAAACAAAAACAUAGGAUAUCUAUGUAUCAAUAUACUUACUGCCGCCUCCUUGCAAAUAAAUAUGUAUACUUGCUGCCGCCGGUCAUAUUCCUUUGUAUCUGUGCCUAGUUUUUUUUCUUGGUUGACAUUGUUGGGCUUAUACAGCGGUCUCCUUACACGAGGGUAAACGUCACAUUUCUGAAACAUGUUUUUCUUCUGUGAAAUUGCUAAUCUGGGAAAUUCUACUUUUAUGAUGUGCAUCUAGCUUAACUUUAGUGAUUAUACUAUUUUAUAUUAAUGGGUUUAUGCCAAAAAAAUGUAUAAAGUAUAUGCUCUUGGAUUUCUGCAUAGGGUUUUAUAUAUGCAUAAAGGGGGGCGGCGUGGCGGUCUCCUCCAUCGGCAUGUUUAAAGCCCAGAUGAGCAGUGGCUCAUUCCAGCUCCUCGGGAUGGCGGAAUUUAGCCUCCUCUCGGCUGUUUUUGCUCGCGGCACCUCCUACACCGGGACCCCGUGGGUCGCUAUUGCCGCAUCGACCGUUGUCAUGAUCGUUGUCCUUCGAUUAUGUCGCCAACUUCCUAUAUAGCUUGGGCACGUUGCUCGAGUUUGCCUCCUUCUGGCUCCGUGCCAAGCACCUGAUGCUGAAGCGUCCCUACCGCAUGUCACUAUCGCUGCAUGCGCUCAUGGCCAUGUGUGUCGUGCCGUCGGCUUUCCUGGCCUAUGUAUGUGUGGUGGCCGGGUGAAGGGUGUUCGGCGUUGUUGCUGGGCCGUCAGCUCUCGGUGUCGGUUGGCAUGGCGUCAUGAGGGUCUGCAGGGCCAGAAAGUUGCCCAAGUUCAACAACGCGGUUGUUGCUGUCCAUCGAGAGGAUGUUGAAGAGAAUGUUUGAACUUUAGAGUUCUUUAGCUGAACCGUAAAGAGUCAGAAGUGCAUGUCUCUCUCAUGUAAUUUGGCGAGCUGGAUUUGGAGCUAAAAAAAACCAAUCCCUAGUCUCGAAGAACAUAAACAACGAUCCAUGGUGGUACAGAAUGAGGAGGGAACGACAAGGGGGGUUGCUUUUGUCUAUAUGUUGUCCUCUUAUCAUUUUGUUCGUGUAACAUGUAAUUGAUCCCCCCCCCCAACACACACGCACCCGCGUCUCUCUCCCCAGCGACUCGGGGGCGUAAACCCUAUCGUUGCCACACCUUUCCACCCAAGCCUCCAUCGUCUCGCCGCUGCAGGCUUUGAGGCGCGAGGUGGCCAGAUGUGGUGCCUCUCGUGCAUUUGUAUGGCGGCGUUGAGGUGGUGCGUGGCGGCGCGGGUCGCAGGUGAAAGUGCAACUAAUCCCCGGAUGAUUUUGAUAAUUGAUAACAACAUCGUUGAACUAAUGCCUACUCAAAGAAUAUUUCACGAAAGUUCAAUUUAGCUAUGGCAAUGGGAUGUGAAUGUGGACCAACAAAAUGCUCACGAAUGAUAUUGACAAAUAUUCAAGACUCUAAAAUUAUGGUUAGGUGAUCCAAUAUCACACUGAGUCCAUAAGAAAGCCAAUAUUAUUAAGAGGGGAUGAGGUAUUGAUCAUGGCGUAACUGCUUAAGUGCUCAGGGAUAUUGCUCAAAUUCCUCGAUCGCACCCUCACAUUCAUCUUUGUCCUAAACCUAAAGUUAUUCUUGGUCUCACCGAAACACAUAUAGCCGGAUCCACCGAAUAGCGUCUUGGUCUCACCGAGAUGGCCCUUCGGUCCCACCGAUGAGCACUUGCCGACCUUCUAUUGCCAAUUGAAAUUCAAUCAAAAAUUUUGAGUGGUUUCAAUCGGUGACACCGAAGUAUGAAAGUGCUUCGGUCAUCAUCAUUCAGUCUCACCGAGAGGUUUCAUCCGGUCUCAUCGAAAAGCCAAAAGUUCAUAAAUCUCUAUUGGAUGCAAUAAAUUGCGAAGAAAAAUCAUGGCACAUAUGCAACAUACAAGCCAAUGCUUGCAUCAACGCAAAAACAAAUUGCAACCUGAAUGCAACAUUUGAAACUCAUACCUACCGCAGCAGAUCGUUGUAUGCUUGGAGCAAAGAAAUAUGAGAUUGAUGUUGGGGAACGUAGCAGAAAUUCAAAAUUUUCUACGCAUCACCAUGAUCAAUCUAUGGAGAUUCUAGCAACAAGAGAGAGAGGGAGUGCAUCUUCAUACCCUUGAAGAUCGCUAAGCGGAAGCGUUACAAGAACGCGGUUGAUGGAGUCGUACUCGCGGCGAUUCAAAUCGCGGAAGAUCCGAUCUAGCGCCGAACGUACGGCGCCUCCGCGUUCAACACACGUACAACUCAGAGAUGUCUCCUCCUUCUUGAUCCAGCAAGGGGAGAUGAGAAGUUGAGGGAAAACUCCGACAACACGACGGCAUGGUGGUGAUGGAGCUCGUGGUUCUCCCGCAGGGCUUCGCCAAGCACUACGGAGGAGGAGGAGGGAGAGUGUAACGCCCCGGAUUCGAUGCGCCGGGUGUCUGCUAGUUAUUUGCCGUAGUUGCCAUGUCAUUUGCUUGCGUGUUGCAUUUUAUCAUGUCAUCAUGUGCAUCUUAUUUUGCUUACGUGUUCGUUUCAUGCAUCCGAGCUUUUUCCCCGUUGUCCGUUUUGCAAUCCGGCACUCCUAUGCCCUCCGGCGUUCCCCUUUUGUCUCCUGUUGUGAGCGGGUGUUAAACAUUCUCGGAAUGGACUGAGUCUUGGCAAGCAGCCUUGGUAUAGCACCGGUAGACCGCCUGUCAAGUUUCGUGCCAUUUGGAGGUCGUUUGAUACUCCAACGGUUAACUGGGUAACCGUAAAGCCCCUUUCGUCUUGCAGCCCAACACCCCUCCAAAGUGGCCCAAAACCCAGCAAGCUCCCCUCCAUGCUCUCGGUCGUUCGAUCACGAUCGCGUGGCCGAAAAUCGCUCCUCAUUUGGACUCUCCUAGCUCCCAGAAAGUAUAAAUAUGCCCUUCCCGUCCAAAUUCACGGAUGAAACCCUAGCCCCUUCUUCCUCCGCGCGCCGGACACGUCCGCCCGGCGCCGGACACGUCCGCCGCCGCCCCCUCGUCCAACCACAGUGCGCCAGCUGUCCCGCGCUCUCUCUCUCCUCCGCGCAUCGCUGCUGGCCCACCCAGGCCCGAGCGGGGCCCGCCCNNNNNNNNNNNNNNNNNNNNNNNNNNNNNNNNNNNNNNNNNNNNNNNNNNNNNNNNNNNNNNNNNNNNNNNNNNNNNNNNNNNNNNNNNNNNNNNNNNNNNNNNNNNNNNNNNNNNNNNNNNNNNNNNNNNNNNNNNNNNNNNNNNNNNNNNNNNNNNNNNNNNNNNNNNNNNNNNNNNNNNNNNNNNNNNNNNNNNNNNNNNNNNNNNNNNNNNNNNNNNNNNNNNNNNNNNNNNNNNNNNNNNNNNNNNNNNNNNNNNNNNNNNNNNNNNNNNNNNNNNNNNNNNNNNNGCAGCCGCCCCGCUCGAGGGCGCUCGCCUCCGCCGCUGCCCCGACCAGCUCCCGCCGCCGCCGCUCGCAAGACCUCCUCACCGCCGGGUCCGCCUUCUCCGGCCACCUCCGGCCCCGUCUCCGGCGAGCCUCGUUCGCCGCGCCCCGGAUCUGGAUCUGGAAGACGAAGGUUGACCUCGUAAAACGACUAAGUCCAGAUAUAUUUUGACAUUAUCAUGCCAUGUUCAUCGCAUCAUAUCUCUGCAUCCGUAGCUCCGUUUUGGGCGUGUAGCAUAUCAAAUUGUUCGUCUCAAUGAGUACUUCAUUUCAUUCAAUUGCAUCAUGUUCAUUUGAGCUCAUCUUGAUGCCUGAAUCUUCGUUGCAAGAGUGCUAUAUGAUGUUGUCUGCUGUCUGUUAACAGAACAUGCUCAUUUGUCAUUUUUGCCAUGAUUGAUGUGUGCAUCCUAUGAGGUUGAUGUCUACAUGUGUUUUGAACUAUGUCCUAUCUUCUUUACAGAGGUGCUUACCAUGUAUUUUUGUGAUCUCUGUGGUGACUAGCACAAGCAUGCAAACUAGGCUUCGUGAUGUUGCUGAUUUUAGUCCCUGUUCUACUGUUAUUUUGAUGCCAUGUAAACAUGAUGCUACAGAGAGAUCCAUGCAUAUUUUGAGAUACUUAAGUAAGGAUGUUUUGAACAUAUGGUUAUUUUCUAUCCAUGUAUGCCCAUGUUUGUAAUUAUGGAGUAGUCUAGCAUGUCAUUUUGGUGUUCUACUUUUACUACAAAAUGUUUCCUGGCAGAUUGUUUACAUGUUAUUCAAUUUUGCCAAGGUUGUUGUAGUUGAUCCUUGCAUGCUAUGAACUUGUUCUUGCCUUGGUUUGUUUCAUAAACAUGUCUUCUUGCUUAUGCUAUGCUUAUCUUGUCAUGCAAUGACUUGUGGUGAGUGAAUCAAGCUUGUUAAGUAGUGUACUUGCUGUUACUGUUUUGCUAGGCUGAAUCUGUUAUUUCGUGAUGCUAUGUAAACGUGCUGCUACAAAUCAUUCUGUGCAUAAUCUGGAGAUGUUCACUAAGGGUGUUUUGUUCUACAUGUUAUGCACUAACCAUCCAUGCCCCUGGUUGCAUUUAUAGCUUGCUUUAACUUGUUGUUAUCUUGCUCCAAAGUUGCUAAAUAAUGUUGCUGUCAGCCUGUUAACAUUAAGUUCAGUUGUUGCCAUGAUUGUUUCUAGUGUUCCAUGUACCCUAUGAACUUGCUAUUGCCAUGCUUAGCUUCAUAAACAUGUCUUCUUACUGUUGGUUGCCUUGCCAUGCCAUGUAUUGCUCUGUGGUGAGUGGUACAAGCUCAUCAACAUGCCUACUUAUUGUUGUUCCUGCCAUGUAUGAAUCUGUAUUAUAACUUGCUAUGUUUACAUGGGUGCCAUCAUACCUUCUGAUCCUUUUUGGCUUAUGGUCAGUAAGGGACUUUUGUUCUUGCAAUUAGUAGAUUCAUGGCAUGCCUUUGUUUGCCAUGUUAAGUUUCUGUAACAUAUUGUUUGAUAGCUCUAAACAUUGCAACCUGAUGUUAUUUUCUGCAAAGUCUGAACUGUUAUUAUUUGCAAUCUUGUCAUGUGUGUUUGAGCAUGUUCUAGUGAUUUCUGGAGAUAGCUCAGUGUUCAUGUUUUGUUAUGCUUUACCUGUACAUCAUGUCCAUGCCUUUUGUUUUCUUGUUGAGGUCAUGUAGCAUAUUGUUUUGAUGCUUGCAAGAUGCCUAGUUGCUAUUUUGGACAGAUUGUUAUUAUAACUUGUAUAGUGUAUGUGUUGCACCGUUGCUCCGUUUUGAGUGUGCUCUAUAUGAAACUUGCUUGAAUUUGCAUGUAGCUUCAUAUUAUCAUGUUGCAUCCUUGUUUUGAGGUGUUUGCUUGAUGUUUGUAUGCAUUUUGCAUCAAUGCCAUGUUUAACUUGUUUUGCUCAUAUCUUCUAGGUCGUAGCUCCGAAUUAAAUGAACUUUAUAUGUAACUUGACUAGAAUCUCGUGUAGAUCAUCUUGGUGCAUCUUAACAUGCUGUUUACCAACUUGAACAUAAGGUUAAUUCAGAUCUGGUCCAAUUUCGAAAUUUGCAUAUGAGGACUUACCGGGAUUGUUAUAGGUUGUUCCCGGCCUCAUUUAAACUUGCCUUGAUGUGUUGCUCUUGUUUGCUUCAUCUCUUGCCAUGAGUAACUUCAUGUAGUUUUGUCAUGCAUCAUGCUUGUUGUGCAUCAUGUCUUGUAUAUGUGUGGUGUGUUUACCAUGUUGUGUGCUUCUUCUCGAUAGUUCCCAUUUCGUUGCGAUCGUGAGGAUUCGUUCGUCUACGCUUGGUUCGGCUUCAUCUGUUCGUCUUCUUCAUGAACUCGUUCUUCUUCCUUGCGGGAUUUCAGGCAAGAUGACUGCUACCCUGGAUCUCACUACUAUCAUUGCUAUGCUAGUUGCUUCGUUCUAUCGCCAUGCUGCGCUACCUAUCAUUUACUCUUCAAGCCUCCCAAAUUGCCAUGAACCUCUAACCUUUGACACCCUUCCUAGCAAACCAUUGCUUGGCUAUGUUACUGCUUUGCUCAGCCCUCUUAUAGCGUUGCUACUUGCAGGUGAAGUUGAAGAUUGCUCCAUGGUGAACAGGAUUAUGUUGGGAUAUCACAAUAUCUCUUAUUUAAUUAAUGCAUCUAUAUACUUGGUAAAGGGUGGAAGACUCGGCCUUAUGCCUGGUGUUUUGUUCCACUCUUGCCGCCCUAGUUUCCGUCAUACCGGUUGAGGGAGUCUUGGACUAGGGGGUGUCCGGAUAGCCGAACUAUCAUCAUCGGCCGGACUCCAAGACUAUGAAGAUACAAGAUUGAAGACUUCGUCUCGUGUCCGGAUGGGACUUUCCUUGGCGUCGAAGGCAAGCUUGGCGAUACAGAUAUGUAGAUCUCCUACCAUUGUAACCGACUCUGUGUAACCCUAGCCCUCUCCGGUGUCUAUAUAAAUCGGAUGGUUUUAGUCCAUAGGACGAACAACAAUCAUACCAUAGGCUAGCUUCAGGGUUUAGCCUCCUUGAUCUCAUGGUAGAUCUACUCUUGUAAUACCCACAUCAUCGAUAUCAAUCAAGCAGGACGUAGGGUUUUACCUCCAUCAAGAGGGCCCGAACCUGGGUAAAACAUCGUGUCCCUUGUCUCCUGUUACCAUCCGCCUAGACGCACAGUUUGGGACCCCCUACCCGAGAUCCGCCGUUUUUGAGCACAGUUUGGAACACUCGUGGCAUGGGGGCUGAAGCCGACAACUUGCCAUCUCUCAAAUUUGAGCACAUAUACUUGGUAAUACAACGGCCGCACAGAAGGUAAUAUUUUAAAUUAACAAGCGUUGCUUAGCACAUAUGAACAAAGUUUUCAGCGCACAGGAUAACAAAAUGCGAGUCUACUCAAAUAUUACAUCUUUGGAGCACUCACCCACAAUAAUGCGGGCACCCUUCAGGACACUCUUAUAAUACAUCUCGGGCGUGCGAUACUCCUUGCCCGGUGGUGGCACGUCCGUCACAAGCUUCUCAGCAUCCAUCUUGCCCCAUUGCACCUUUGCACGGGCAAGGGCCCGACGGGCACCUUCAAUACAAGCGGAGUGCUUGAUGACUUCAACCCAUGGACAAGCAUCCACCAGCCGCCGCACCAGCUGAAGUAGCUCCCAAGCAUGGCCUCAUUGGGCCACAGCCAAACUAUGAGGCCCUUCAUGGCCUGUUUGGCCACCUUAUGGAGCUCAACCAGCUGCUUCAGCUGGUCGCUAAGGGGCACCGGAUGUCCGACCUCAGCAUACUGAGACCAGAAGACCUUCUCCGUCGAGCUCCCCUCCUCGGCCCUGUAGAAAGCGGCAGCAUUGGACACGCUACGGGGCAGAUCUGUGAACGCUCCUGGAGAGCUCCGAAUUCGGGUAAGUAAUAGGUAAUUCACACUCACAUGCUUGCUUUGCAUGAAAAAUGCCUUACCCGCUGCUAUUUUCUUCAACGCCUCAAUUUCCUAGAGGGCCUUGUAGGCUUCGGCCUUAGCGGCUUUGGCACUCUCAAGAGUCGAUGCAAGCUCAGACUCUCGAGUCUUCGAGUCGCGCUCCAAACUCUCAUGUUUUUCCACGAGAGCCUGGAGCUCUUGCUGUACCUCCGCCACCCGCGCCUCCUGCUUCUCUCGCUCAGUGCGCUCCGCGGCCACAUUAUAUUCGGCCGCGGACACCGCCUCCUUCAGGGUCGCCACCUCGUUUGUGGCCCCUGCAAUACCCACGUUAUCCUUGUCAUUCUUCUUGCAACCAAAUCCUUUUCUGUAAGGUACAACUUUAAUAAGGUGUUACUCACCUUCCUUGUCCUCGAGCUGCUUCUUGACAUGGCCGAGCUCGUUCUCGGACCGCUCGAGGCUUUGCUUCAAAGUAUUGACCUCCGCAGUCAGUGCGGCAGAGGUCAGCCGCACAGCCUGCAACCCCAUAUUGACAUAUUUUUUAUGACUCAUGCGUAUAUCUUUUUAGAUCCUCAGUCCGGCUUUUCUUUCCGAACACCGAACCGAGCAUCAGGGGCUACUGUCUAUGCGGUACUAUUUUACAUAUAUCAAAAUUCUUACCUCAAAGCCUGUUAGAAGGCUGCUGCAGGCUUCGGUCAGCCCGCUCUUGGCAAGCUGAACCUUCUGAAUCACCGCACUCAUGACGGUGUGGUGUUCCUCUUUGAUGGAAGCGCCGUUGAGCGCCUCCAGCAAGCUAUCUGGCGCCUCUGGUUGGACGGAGGCCGCCGGCGUCACGGUCUUGCCCUUCUUACGAAGGGGCCGCUCGCCGGACUCCGGAACCACUACAGGUUCCGGUGCGGAGUCCAGUGCAAAGUCAGGGAGGUUGCCCUGCGGCACCUCCGGGGCCUCCUCCUCCUGGCGGGUCCCUUCCCGGGAUCCCACCUCGGCAUCGUCCACAUCACGGGGGGUGUAGGCGGUCAGAAGGGAAUCCAUAUCCGAUGCACCCAAGGACCCGCUCGACGAAGUGGGAAGAUCAUCCCUGGGCGGACUGCAGGGUUGUAUGCGGCAUUAGAAAGACACCAUGUGGCGAAAAGAAAAAUCAUGAAGUUAUUCGGGAGUCCGGAUACUUACGAUCUCGCUAGGGGCUUGGCCCUUGAAGGCCAGUCCUCGUCGUCAUCGCCGGCGUUGGCAGAGCAGUCCGGGGGAAGAGUCCUUCCCUUCUUGGACCCUUCGGCCUCCCUUGUUGGGGAGGCCUUUCUUUUCUUCCCUCCCCCCGCUGGGGGAGAGGCCUCUUUCUUCUCCUCCUCGCCCUCGUGGGAGGAGUCCGCCUUGGAGUCAUCGGACAAUGAGUCCGAUGACACGUGAAAACAGGAACUCUUUCGAGUGCCCGUGGCCUUCUUCUUGGCCUUCUUCUCCGGCACCACGUGGGGUGCCGGAACCAGCAGCCCCGUUAAGCGGGCGUCCGCUGGGUCUUCUGGCAAAGGGGCCGGACAGUUAGUCCGCUUGGCCUUCUUCAGCCAGUCCUGUCAAAGGAGAGGGAGUUUAAAUCCCGCAUAGAGUCAAACUAUGGAAAACAAGUGUCCCGUAAAGGGUAAAAUCGCUUACCUCGCUAGCCGGAUGCUGCGAGCUGAAUCUGCGAUCUUCGGUAGCGGAUGCAGGAGCCUCGACGCCCUUAAACAGCACCCUCCAGGCCUCUUUAUGCAUAGUGUCGAAGAGUCUGCUCAAAGUCUGGUGUUGCACCGAAUCGAACUCCCACAUAUUGAAGUCUCGUUGUUGGCACGGGAGAAUCCGGUGGAUGAGCAUGACCUGGACUAUGUUGACAAGCUUGAGCUUCUUGUUCACUAGCUUUUGGACGCAGGCUUGGAGUGCGGUCAGCUCCUCGAAUCACCCCAUGUUAGUCCACUCUCUUUCCAGGAGGUGAGCCAUAUGGGGAUGCCAGAUCUGAAUUCGGGGGCCGCUGCCCAUUCAGGGUCACGCGGCUCGGUGAUGUAGAACCACCCCGAUUGCCACCCCUUAAUGGUUUCCACGAAGGUGCCCUCGAGCCAAGUAAAGUUGGGCAUCUUGCCCACCAUGGCGCCUCCGCACUCCGCUUGGCUGCCCUUCACAACCUUCGGCUUGACACUGAAGGUCUUGAGCCACAAGCCGAAGUGGGGCUGGAUGCAGAGGAAGGCCUCACACACGAGAUAAACGCCGAGAUGUUGAGGAUGAAAUUCGGGGCCAGAUCAUGGAAAUCCAGGCCGUAGUAGAACAUGAGCCCCCGGACAAAGGGAUGGAGUGGGAAGCCCAGUCCGCGGAGGAAAUGGGAAAGGAAUACUACCCUCUCAUGGGGCCCGGGGGUGGGGAUGAGCUGCCCCUCGUCGGGGAGCCGGUGCGCGAUGUCGCUGGAUAGAUAUCCGGCGCUGCGCAGCUUCUUGAUGUGCCCCUCCGUAACGGAGGAGGCCAUCCACUUGCCUCCCGCUCCGGACAUAGUUGGAGAAGGUUGAGGUGAGAUGUGCGGACUUGGGCGCUGGAGCUCGAGUUCGCGGAGAUGGAUAAGCAAAGGAGGAAGAAGGCGUAGGUAAAAGGGUGGAUCUUUAUCCCCUUAUAUGGGCGGAUGAAACCAUGCGUCCCCACCGGCCUGAUAAAACUCACUUAUCUCCCAAGCACCGCGAUCAAUGGUGCGGUUGGGUUACCCACGUCUGUAUUGAUGGGAAUCCUGGUAUAAGGGGAACACGAUCUCUGCUUCGACGAGACGUGCCAAGGAAACUGCUUCGCUAAACGCGCUGAGGUGGUACAAUAAAAACAAUUCGAGUAAAGGCUUGGUUGUGGUAUGACGUCACGCCACAAAUACGUCAGUAGAUUGAAUUUGUGUAAAUAUUAUUCUCUCUACGGUGGUAUGUGGAAUUUAUUUUGCAGAGCCGGACACUAUCCUGGUGUUCACAAUCUUCUAUAAAUUGUUCGGAGGAGGAACCCGCCUUGCAAUGCCGAAGACAAUAUGCGUGCCGGACUCGUCGUCAUUGAAACCUGGUUCAGGGGCUACUGAGGGAGUCCUGGACUAGGGGGUGUCCGGAUAGCCGAACUAUCAUCAUCGGCCGGACUCCAAGACUAUGAAGAUACAAGAUUGAAGACUUCGUCCCGUGUCCGCAUGGGACUUUCCUUGGCGUGGAAGGCAAGCUUGGCGAUACGGAUAUGUAGAUCUCCUACCAUUGUAACCGACUCUGUGUAACCCUAGCCCUCUCCGGUGUCUAUAUAAACCGGAUGGUUUUAGUCCAUAAGACGAACAACAAUCAUACCAUAGGCUAGCUUCAGGGUUUAGCCUCCUUGAUCUCAUGGUAGAUCUACUCUUGUAAUACCCACAUCAUCGAUAUCAAUCAAGCAUGACGUAGGGGUUUACCUCCAUCAAGAGGGCCCGAACCUGGGUAAAACAUCGUGUCCCUUGUCUCAUGUUACCAUCCGCCUAGACGCACAGUUCGGGACCCCCUACCCGAGAUCCGCCGGUUUUGACACCGACACCGGUGUUAUGUUCCCGGAUUUUGCGUUCCUUAUGCGGUUGGGUGAUUUAUGGGACCCCCUUGACAGUUCGCUUUGAAUAAAACUCCUCCAGCAAGGCCCAACCUUGGUUUUACAUUUGCCUCACCUAGCCCUUUUUCCCUUGGGAGUCGCGCUCUCGAGGGUCAUCUUUAUUUUAUCCCCCCCGGGCCAGUGCUCGUCGUGAGUGUUGGUCCAACCUGUCAGCCGCCGGUGGCCACCAGGGGCAACUCUGGGCUGGCCUAUCGGAAGUUUGGACAAUCCGGUGUGCCCUGAGAAUGAGAUAUGUGCAGUCCUAUCAGGAUUUGUCGGCACAUUCGGGCGGCUUUGCUGGUCUUGUUUUACCAUUGUCGAAAUGUCUUGUAAACCGGGUUUCCGAGUCUGAUUGGGUCUUCCUGGGAGAAGGUAUAUCCUUCGUUGAUCGCGAGAGCUUAUCAUGGGCUAAGUUGGGACACCCCUGCAGGGUAUAAUCUUUCGAAAGCCGUGCCUGCGGUUAUAGGCAGAUGGGAAUUUGUUAAUGUCCGGCUGUAGAUAACUUGACACCAGAUCCGAAUUAAAACGCAUCAACCGCGCGUGUAGCCAUGAUGGUCUCUUUUCGGCAGAGUCCGGGAAGUGAACACGGUUUUUGGGUUAUGUUUGACGUAAGUAGGAGUUCAGGAUCACUUCUUGAUCAUUGCUAGCUUCACGACUGUUCCGCUUGCUCUCUUCUCGCUCUUAUUUGCGUAUGUUAGCCACUAUAUAUGCUUAGUCGCUGCUGCAGCCUCACCACUUUACCCCUUUCUUUCCCUUUAAGCUUUGCUAGUCUUGAUACCCAUGGUAAUGGGAUUGCUGAGUCCUCGUGGCUCACAGAUUACUACAACAACAGUUGCAGGUACAGGUUAUGCGAUGAUCAUGACACGAGAGUGAUGCUUGCGUGCGAUGAGUUCUUCUUCUGCUUCUUCGAUCAGGGGAUAGGUUCCAGGUCGGCAGCCUGUGCUAGCAGGGUGGAUGUCGUUUGAGUUUUUGUUUGUGUUUCAUCCGUAGUCGGAUGAUGCUCUAAUGUAUUGUGAUAUUGUAUUCGUGUGGAAUUGUAUGCCUCUUGUAUGUAUCCCCAUCUAUUAUGUAAUGUUGAUGUAAUGAUAUCCACCUUGCAAAAGCGUUUCAAUAUGCGGUUCUAUCCUUGGUGGGACCUUCGAGUCUCUUUAGGACAGUAUCGCAUAUUGGGCGUGAUAGAGAGGGCUGCACCAGGGGAAGGGUACAGCUGCCCUCUCUCUCCCUCACUAUAUAUAGGGGGGAGGGAGGAGGGGAGGCGCCCUAGGGUUCCCUGGGGGAGGGGCGGCGGCCACAGGGGAAACCCUAGAUGGGUUGGGUGCCCCCACCCCUAGGAAACUUGCCCCCCAAGCUGGGAGGGGCGGCUGCCCUAGGGGUGGCGCCCCCACCUCUCCUGGUUACGUGAGAUGGGGUGGGAGGGGCGCUCAUCCCCUUAGUGGGAUGAUGUGCCCCUCCCCUUGGCCCAUAAGGCCCCCCAACGCUUGCUGGGGCCUCCGAAACCCCUUUCGGACACGCUGGUCAUCACCUGAUACCCUCGGAACAAUUCCGGACUCCAAUACCCUUCGUCCAAUAUACCGAUCUUCACCUCCGGACCAUUCCGGAUCUCCUCGUCACGUCUGGGAUCUCAUCCAGGACUCCGAACAUCCUUCGUUAACCACAUACUAUUUCUCAUAACAACUCUAGCGUCACCGAACCUUAAGUGUGUAGACCCUACGGGUUCGGGAACCAUGUAGACAUGACCGAGACGUUCUCCGGUCAAUAACCAACAGGGGAUCUGGAUACCCAUGUUGGCUCCCACAUGUUCCAUGAUGAUCUCAUCGGAUGAACCACGAUGUCAAGGAUUCAAGCAAUCCCGUAUGCAAUUCCCUUUGUCAAUCGGUAUGUUAUUUGCCUGAGAUUCGAUCGUCGGUAUCCCAAUACCUCGUUCAAUCUCGUUACCGGCAAGUCACUUUACUCGUUCCAUAAUGCAUGAUCCCGUGACUAACUACUUAGUCACAUUGAGCUCAUUAUGAUGAUGCAUUACCGAGUGGGCCCAGAGAUACCUCUCCAUCAUACGGAGUGACAAAUCCCAGUCUCGAUUCGUGCCAACCCAACAGACACUUUCGGAGAUACCUGUAGUGCACCUUUAUAGCCACCCAGUUACGUUGUGAUGUUUGGCACACCCAAAGCAUUCCUACGGUAUCCGGGAGUUGCACAAUCUUAUGGUCUAAGGAAAUGAUACUUGACAUUAGAAAAGCUUUAGCAAACGAACUACACGAUCUUGUGGUAUGCUUAGGAUUGGGUCUUGUCCAUCACAUCAUUCUCCUAAUGAUGUGAUCCCGUUAUCAAUGACAUCUAAUGUCCAUGGUUAGGAAACCAUAACCAUCUAUUGAUCAACGAGCUAGUCAACUAGAGGCUCACUAGGGACAUGUUGGGGUCUAUGUAUUCACACAUGUAUUACGGUUUCCAGUUAAUACAAUUAUAGCAUGAACAAUCAUGAACAAGGAAAUACAAUAAUAACCAUUUUAUUAUUGCCUCUAGGGCAUAUUUCCAACAGUCUCCCACUUGCACUAGAGUCAAUAAUCUAGUUCACAUCACUAUGUGAUUGUAAUGAAUCAACACCCAUGGGGUUUGAUCAUAUCUCGCUUGUGAGAGAGGUUAUUAGUCAAUGGAUCUGAACCUUUCAGGUCCGUGUGUGCUUUGCAAAUCUCUAUGUCAUCUCCUAGAUGCAACUACCACGCUCUAUUUGGAGCUAUUCCAAAUAACUGUUCUACUAUACGAAUCCGGUUUACUACUCAGAAUAAUCCAGAUUAGUGUCAAAGUUUGCAUCAGCGUAACCCUUUAUGACGAACUCUUUUACCACCUCCAUAAUCAAGAAAAUUCCUUAGUCCACUAGUUACUAAGGAUAACCUUGACUGUUGUCCUGUGAUCCAUUCCUGGAUCACACUUGUACCCCUUGACUGACUCAUGGCAAUGCACACUUCAGGUGCAGUACACAGCAUAGCAUACUGUAGAGCCUACAUCUAAAGCAUACGGGACGACCUUCGUCCUUUCUCUCUUUUCUGCUGUGGUCAGGUCUCGAGUCUUUCUAAAUACUCAUACCUUAUAACAUAGCCAAGAACUCCUUCUUUGCCGAUCUAUUUUGAACUCCUUCAAAAUCUUGUCAUGGUAUGUAUUUAUUUGAAAGUACUAUUAAGCGUUUUUAUCUAUCUUUAUAGAUCUUGAUGAUCAAUGUUCAAGUAGCUUAAUCCAGGUUUUCCAUUGAAAAACACUUUUCAAAUAACCCUAUAUGUUGUCUAGAAAUUCUACAUCAUUUCUGAUCAACAAUAUGUCAAUAACAUAUACUCAUCAGAAAUUCUAUAGUGCACCCACUCACUUCUUUGGAAAUACAAGUUUCUCAUAAACAUUAUAUAAACCCAAAAUCUUUGAUCAUCUCAUCAAAGCGUAUAUUCCAACUCCAAGAUGCUUACUCUAGUCCUUAGAAGGAUUGCUGGAGCUUUGCAUACUUGUUAGCAUCUUUCAAGAUUGACAAAACCUUCUGGUUGUAUCACAUACAACCUUUCCUCAAGAAUAUCGUCGAGGAAAUAAUGUUUUUGACAUCCUAUCUGCAAGAUUUCAUAAAUCAUGCAGUAAUUGCUAAUAUAAUUCCAACAGACUCUUAGCAUCGCUACGAGUGAGAAAGUCUCAUCGUAGUCAACUCCUUGAACUUGUCGGAAAACAUCUUAACGACAAGUCGAGCUUUCUUAAUGGUGAUACUUACCAUCAUUGUCCGUCUUCCUUUUAAAAUCCAUCUGUACCCAACAGCCUUACGACCAUCAAGUAGUUCUUCCAAAGUCUACACUUUGUUUUCAUACAUGGAUCCUCUCUCGGAUUUUAUGGCCUCGAGCCAUUUGUCGGAAUCCGGGCCCUAUUGGAAAUAUGCCCUAGAGGCAAUAAUAAAUUAGUUAUUAUUAUUAUAUUUCCUUAUUCAUGAUAAUCGUUUAUUAUCCAUGCUAGAAUUGUAUUGAUAGGAAACUCAGAUACAUGUGUGGAUACAUAGACAACACCAUGUCCCUAGUAAGCCUCUAGUUGACUAGCUCGUUGAUCAAUAGAUGGUUACGGUUUCCUGACCAUGGACAUUGGAUGUCAUUGAUAACAGGAUCACAUCAUUAGGAGAAUGAUGUGAUGGACAAGACCCAAUCCUAAGCCUAGCACAAGAUCGUGUAGUUCGUAUGCUGAAGCUUUUCUAAAUGUCAAGUAUCUUUUCCUUAGACCAUGAGAUUGUGCAACUCCCGGAUACCGUAGGAAUGCUUUGGGUGUACCAAACGUCACAACGUAACUGGGUGGCUAUAAAGGUGCACUACGGGUAUCUCCGAAAGUGUCUGUUGGGUUGGCACGAAUAGAGACUGGGUUUGUCACUCCGUGUGACGGAUAGGUAUCUCUGGGCCCACUCGGUAGGACAUCAUCAUAAUGUGCACAAUGAGAUCAAGGAGUUGAUCGCGGGAUGAUGUGUUACGAAAUGAGUAAAGAGACUUGCCGGUAACGAGAUUGAACAAGGUAUCGGGAUACCGACGAUCGAAUCUUGGGAAAGUAUCAUACCAGUAGACAAAGGGAAUUGUAUACGGGAUUGAUUGAAUCCUUGACAUCGUGGUUCAUCCGAUGAGAUCAUCGUGGAACAUGUGGGAGCCAACAUGGGUAUCCAGAUCCCGCUGUUGGUUAUUGACCAGAGAGAUGUCUCGGUCAUGUUUGCAUGAUUCCCGAGCCCGUAGGGUCUACACACUUAAGGUUCGAUGAUGCUGGGGUUAUAGGGAAGGUAUGUACGCGGUUACCGAAUGUUGUUCGGAGUCCCGGAUGAGAUCCCAGACGUCAUGAGGAGUCCCGGAAUGGUCCGGAGGUGAAGAUUGAUAUAUUGGACGAAGGGUUUUGGAGUCCGGAAGUGUUCCGGAGGUACCGGGUGAUGACUAGCAUGACCGAAAGGUAUUUCGGGAGCCCCGUCAAGUGUUGGGGGGGGCUUCAUGGUCCAAGGGAAGGGGGGCAAACCAGCCCACUAAGGGGCUGUGCGCCCCCCUCACCUAUUCCCACGUGACCAGGGGGUUUUGGGGCACCCCAUCUAGGGUUCCCACCUCCUGGCUUGGGGCCAAGUCACCCAAAGGGGAGAUCCCAUCUGCCCUGGCCGCCGCCCCCCCUAGGGGAAACCCUAGGGUGCCUCCCCCUCCCCCUUGCCCCUAUAUAUAGUGGAGGUUUUGGGGCUGCCCAACACACGAGUCUCUCUCUCCCAAGGCGCAACCCUACCUCUCUCCCUCCUCGUCUCUCGUAGUGCUUGGCGAAGCCCUGCUGGAGUACCGCGCUCCUCCACCACCACCAUGCCGUUGUGCUGCUACUAGACGGAGUCUUCCCCAACCUCUCCCUCUCUCCUUGCUGGAUCAAGGCACGGGAGACGUCAUCGGACUGCACGUGUGUUGAACAUGGAGGCGCCGUUGUUCGGCGCUUAGAUCAGAAUCGACCGCGAUCUGAAUCGCCACGAGUACGACUACCUCAUUCACGUUCUUGCAACGCUUCCGCUUAGCGAUCUACAAGGGUAUGUAUAUGCACUCCCCUUCCCCUUAUUGCUAGAUUACUCCAUAGAUUGAUCUUGGUGAUGCGUAGAAAAUUUUAAAUUUCUGCUAUGAUCCCCAACAGUGGUAUCAGAGCUAGGUUUAUGCGUAGUUUCUAUGCACGAGUAGAACACAAGUUGUUGUGGGCGUCGAUUUUGUCAAUUUACUUGCUGUUACUAGUCUUAUCUUGAUUCGGCGGCAUCGUGGGAUGAAGCGGCCCGGACCGACCUUACACGUACUCUUACACGAGACAGGUUCCGCCGAUUGACAUGCACUAGUUGCAUAAGGUGGCUAGCGGGUGUCUGUCUCUCCCACUUUAGUCAUAUCGUAUUUGAUGAAAAGGGUCCUUAUGAAGGGUAAAUAGAAAUUGGCAUAUCACGUUGUGGUUUUGGCAUAGGUAAGAAACGUUCUUGCUAAGAAACCUAUAGCAGCCACGUAAAAAUUUGCAACAACAAUUAGAUGACGUCUAACUUGUUUUUGCAGCAUAUGUCGUGUGAUGUGAUAUGGCCAAAAGGAUGUGAUGAAUGAUAUAUAUGUGAUGUAUGAGAUUGAUCAUGUUCUUGUAAUAAGAAUCACGACUUGCAUGUCGAUGAGUGUGACAACCGGCAGGAGCCAUAGGAGUUGUCUUAUUUUAUUGUAUGACAUGCGUGUCACUGAAAACGCCAUGUAAUUACUUUACUUUAUUUCUAACCGUUAGCCAUAGUACUAGAAGUAAUGUUUGGCGAGACGACUUCAUGAAGACACGAUGAUGGAAAUCAUGAUGAUGGAGAUCAUGGUGUCAUGCCGGUGAGAUGAUGAUCAUGGAGUCCCGAAGAUGAAGAUCAAAAGGAUCAAAAUGAUAUUGGCCAUAUCAUGUCACUAUUUGAUUGCAUGUGAUGUUUAUCAUGUUUUACAUCUUAUUUUCUUAGAACGACGGUAGUAAAUAAGAUGAUCUCUCACUAAAAUUUCAAGAAUUGUGUUUCCCCUAACUGUGCACCGUUGCUAAGGUUCGUUUUUCUGAAGCACCACGUGAUGAUCGGGUGUGAUAGGUUCUAACGUUCGCAUACAACGGGUGUAAGCCAGAUUUACACACGCAAUACACUUAGGUUGACUUGACGAGCCUAGCAUGUACAGACAUGGCCUUGGAACAUGGAAGACCGAAAGGUCGAACAUGAGUCGUAUAGAAGAUACGAUCAACAUAAAGAUGUUCAUCGUUGAUAACUAGUCCGUCCCACGUGAUGAUCGGACACGGCCUAGUUGACUUGGAUCAUGUAUCACUUAGAUGACUAGAGGGAUGUCUACCUGAGUGUGAGUUCAUUAUAUAAUUUGAUUAGAUGAACUUAUUUAUCAUGAACAAUAGUCUAAGUUGUCUUUGCACAAAAAGGUUGUAGAUCAAUAGCUCACGUUGUAGCUCCCUGUUUCAAUAUGUUCCUAGAGAAAGAUUAAGUUGAAAGAUAUUGUAAGAAAUGAUGCGGACUAGGUCCAUUGCCUGAGGAGUGUUCUCACUGCUACACAGAAGGCUUAUGUCUUUGAUGCACCGCUCGGUGUGCCAACCCCUCCAGCGUCGUCUGUGGAUGUUAUGAACAUCUGACAGAUACAUCCUGGUGACUACUUGAUAGUUAAGUGCACCAUACUUUACGGCUUAGAAUCGGGAUUCCAAUGACAUUUUCAACGCCAUAGAACAUAUGAGAUGUUCCAAGAGCUGAAAUUGGGAUUCCAGGCUCAUGCCCGUGUUGAGAGGUAUGAGACCUCUGACAAGUUCUUUGCCUACAAGAUGGAGGAGAAUGUCUCAACUAGUGAGCAUGUGCUCAGAAUGUCUGGGUGCUAAGAUCACUUGAACCAAGUGGGAGUUAAUCUUCCAGAUGAGAUAGUGGUUGCCGAAAUUCUCUAGACACUAUCAACAAGCUACUAGAACUUCGUGAUGAACUAUGACAUGCAAAGGAUGGAGAUGAUCCCGGAGCUAUUAGCGGUGCUUAAAACCGCAAAAGUAGAAAUCAAGAAGGAGCAUCAAGUGUUGAUGGUUUAUCAAGACCACUGGUUUCAAAAGGGGCAAGGGCUAGAAGGGAAACUUCAUGAAUGACAAACCAGUUGUCGCUCUAAUGAAGGAACCCAAGGUUGAACCCAAACCUCGAGACUAAGUGCUUCUAUUGUAAGGGGAACGGUCACAUGGUAGCGGAACUACCCCAAAUACAUGGUAGAUAAGAAAGCUGGCAACUUCAACAAAGUAUAUUUGAUAUACGUGUUAUUGAUGUGUACCUUACUAGUACUCCUAGUAGUACCUGGGUAUUGGAUACCGGUUCAGUUGCUAUUAUUGGUGACUUGAAGCAAAAGCUACGGACUGAACGGAGACUAGCUAAGGGCGAGGUGACGAUGUGUGUUGGAAGUGUUUCCAAGGUUGAUAAGAUCACCAUCGCACGCUCCCUCUACCUUCGGGAUUAGUGUUGAACCUAAAUAAAUGUUAUCAGGUGUCUACGUUGAGCAUGAAUAUGAUUAGAUCAUGUUCAUAGCAAUACGGUUAUUCAUUUAAGUUAGAGAAUAAUGGUUAUUCUUUUUACAGGAAUAAUACCUUUAUGGUCAUGCACCCAAUGGUUUAUUGAAUCUCGAUCAUAGUAAUACACAUGAUAAUAAUACUAACGCCAAAAGAUGUAGAGUUAAUAAUGAUAGUACCACUUUCUUGUGGCACUGCCGCUUAGGUCAUUUUGGCAUAAAAUGCGUGAAGAAACUCCAUGCUGAUGGAUGUUUGGAGUCACUUGAUUUUGAAUCGCUUGACACAUGCGAGCCAUGCCUCAUGGGCAGGAUGACUAAGAUCCCGUUUUCAGGUACAAUGAAAUGGGCAAGUGACUUGUUGGAAAUCAUACAUUCUAAUGUGUGUGAUCCAAUGAGAAUUAAGGUGUGUGGUGGAUAUCGUUAUUUUCUCAUCUUCACUAACAAUUUGAGUAGAUAUGGGUAUAUUUACUUAAUGAAGCAAAAGUUUGAAACGUUUGAAAAGGUUCAAGAAAUUUCAGAGUGAAGUUAAGAAUCAUCAUAACAAGAAGAUCAUGUUCCUACAAUCUGAUCAAGGGGAGAUUUUCUGAGUUAUGAGUUUGGCAAUCACUUAAGACAUUGUGGAAUUGUUUCGCAGUUGAAGCCACCUGGAACACCACAGCGUAAUGGUGUGUCCGGACGUCAUAAUUGAACCUUAUGAGAUAUGGUGCGAUCUAUGAUGUCUCUUACCGAUCUACCGCUAUUAUUUCGAGGUUAUGCAUUAGAGACAGCUGCAUUCACUUUAGAUAGGGCACCAUCUAAGUCCAUUGAGACGACGUCGUAUGAAAAUUGGUUUGGCAAGAAACCAAAGUUGUCGUUUCUUAAUAUUUCGUGCUGCGAUGCUUAAGGCUUCACCCGGAAAAGCUCGAACCCAAAGCGGACAAAUACAUCUUCAUAGGAUACCCAAAGGUAAUAGUUGGGUAUACCUUCUAUCUCAGAUCCGAGGGCAAAGUGUUUGUCGCUAAGAACGGGUCCUUUCUCGAGAAGGAGUUUCUCUCGAAAGAAUUGAGUAGGAGGAAGAUAGAACUUGAUGAGGUUGUCGAACCCUCACUUCAACCGGAGAGUAGUGCAACACAGAAAGAUGUUUUUGUGGAACCUACGACUGUUGAAGAGGAAACUAAUGAUAGUGAUCAUGAAGCUUCGGAUCAAGUUGCUAUCAAACCUCGUAGGUCGACAAGGAUAUGUACUACGCCUGAGUGGUACGGUGAUCCUGUCUUAGAGGUCAUGUUGCUGGACAACAAUGAACCUACGAACUAUGGAGAAGCGCUGGUGGGCCCGUAUUCCGACAAAUGGUUAGAAUCGGAGAAAUGCGAGAUAGGAUCCAUGUAUCAAAACAAAGUAUGGACUUUGGUGGACUUGCUCGAUGAUCAGCAAGCCAAUGAGAUAAAUGGAUCUUUAAGAAGAAGACAUACGUGGACGGUAAUGUCACCGUCUAUGAGGCUCGACUUGUGGUGAAGAGUUUUUCACAAGUUCAAGGAGUUGACUACGAUGAGAUUUUCUCAUCCGUAGCGAUACUUAAGUCCGUCGGAAUCAUGUUAGCAUUAGUUGCAUUUAUGAAAUCUGGCAGAUGGAUGUCAAAACAAGUUUCCUUACUAGUUUUCGUAAGGAAAGGUUGUAUGUGAUACAAUCAGAAAGGUUUUGUCGAUCCUAAGGAUGCUAAAAGGUAUGCCAGCUCCAGCGAUCCUUCUAUGGACUAGAGCAAGCAUCUCAGAGUCGGAAUAUAUGCUUUGAUGGAGUGAUCAAAGCUUUUAGGUUCAUACAAUGUUUGCUAGAAACUUGUAUUUACAAGAAAGUGAGUGGGAGCGCUACAACAUUUCUGAUAAGUAUAUGUGGAUGACAUAUUGUUGAUCCGAAAUAAUGUAGAAUUUCUGGAAAGCAUAAACGGUUGUUUGAAGAAUUAUUUUCAAAGGAAGACCUGGAUAAAGCUGCUUACAUAUUGGGCAUCAAGAUCUAUAGAGAUAGAUCAAGAUGCCUGAUGAUACUUUCAAAGAACACACACCUUGACAUGAUUUUGAAGGAGUUCAAAAUAGAUCAGUCAAAGAAGGUAUUCUUACCUGAGUUGUAAGGUGUGAAGUUGAGUAAGACUCAAAGCUUGACCACGGCAGAAAAAAGAGGAAGGACGAAGGUCGAACCUAUGCUUUUGUCAUAGGCUCUAUACGGUAUGUGUGACGCCCUCGAUUCAAUCGUACACUAAUCAUACACGCAAAUGUGUACGAUCAAGAUCAAGGACUCACAGGAAGAUAUCACAACACAACUCUAGACACAUAUUAAAAUAAUACAAGCUUUAUAUUACAAGCCAGGGGCCUCGAGGGCUCGAAUACAUAAGCUCGAAUACACAAGAGUCAGCGGAAGCAACAAUAUCUGAGUACAGACAUAAGUUAGACAAGUUUGCCUUAAGAAGGCUAGCAUAAAAGCAUCUACAAUCAAAAAGGCAAGGCCUCCUGCCUGGGAGCCUCCUAACUACUCCUGGUCGUCGGCGUCCUCCACGUAGUAGUAGGCACCCUCGGGGUAGUAGUAGUCAUCGUCAAAGGUGGCGUCUGGAUCCUAGGCUCCGACAUCUGGUUACAUCAACCGGAAAGAAGAAGAAAGGGGGAAAAGGGGGAGCAAAGCAACCGUGAGAAAUCAUCCAAAGUACUCACAAGCAAGGAUCUACACUACAUAUGCAACAUUAUCAAAGAGGGGUUGUAUAUGUGGACUUGGCUGCAGAAAUGCCAGAAUAGAGAGAAGGCCCAGUCCUAUCGAAGACUAGCAUCUUCGGGAAACCACCAUCUUGCAGCAAACAGGAGGGAGUAGAGUAGCAUAAAGUAAAGUAGUAGUAGUGUUAUCAACCUCGGCCAGAGAUCCUUUCUCGACUCCCUGUGAGAAAGCAAUCCCAGAGCCAUACUAUCCAAUUGUCAUCACAAUCCAAUUCUCAUCACCAUCCAAUUCUCAUCACAAGUAUCCAGUUCUAGUUGUAUCGAUUGGGAUACAACUCUGAGUGUCCGUUACCGUAGGACAGGCUAUCGAUAGAUGUUUUCUUCCCUGCAGGGGUGCACCAACUUACCCACCACGCUCGAUUAACUCCGGCCGGACACACUUUCCUGGGUCAUGCCCGGCCUCGGCCAAACAAUACGCCGCAACCCGACCUAGCCUUAAUAGAGAGGUCAGCACGCCGGACUAAACCUAUGCCCCCAGGGGUCAUGGGCCAUCGCCCCGGGAACUCCUGCAUGUUGCGAGGGCGGCCGGUGAGCAGACCUAGCUACCUCCCUAAAAAGGCAGGUGCUUACUAGUCCAACCCGGCGCGCGCUGCUCAGUCGCUGAUGUCUAUUAAGCUUCGGCUGAUGCAUACGACGCAGAACGCCCAUACUAUGCCCACAUGAUGGUUAGUGAUAUCAGGCCAGAGGCCCCACGGAUCAAAUAUCCAAAUCAUAGUGGAUUAGGAGCACGCGAUAACAAGCAGAGACUCACGAAAUAUGUGACCCCAUUGCCCCGUCUCGAGGACUUGCGGCAAGGGCUAAGAAUGCCCGGCCACACCUCGUAUUCAACUCUCGGGUACCCUCCAGGUCAACCCAUCUCCACAUCACUCGCAAUUAUGCUCGCGCGGGUACCCCUCAGGGUCGACCCGUCUUUAGUAACAUGGUUCAGUGUAAAGUCAUAGUAAUCAUAGUAACCGUGUGUCUAAACAUCAAGGGGAAAACCCCGAGGAAUCACUGCUGAAUUCCACUUGAUGUAAUCAUCAAGGUGAACGUAAGAGGAAUCACCCCCGAGGUUCACACUUGAGGGGUUGCACGACAGAGUCGUAUCGGAAGUGGUUAAGGCGGAAUCACCCUCGAUGACCAUGACCGAAUGGCUACACUACAGGGUUAACAUUAGAAGUGUUGUAGAGGUCUCACCCUCGGCACUCGAUAGUAACCCAGCAGUGUCGAGCAACUAAGGAGGAAGUGAUGUGCGGUGCCGGGGCCUGGUCUUCGAUCCCGUUGAUCGGGUCUUCGAUGAUGAAGCAGGGGCAACAAGGACAAGGUGGAGGUACCUGAUGGAUCACUAACCAACCUAUACUAAGCAGUUUAGGAUAAUCAGGUAAUGUACAACAACAGAUACAAAAGCAGGCUAUGCAUCAGAAUAGGAGCAAACAAUAACAGUAGCAAAAUCUAAUGCAAGCAUGAGAGAAUGGAAUGGGCGAUAUCGGGAUGAUCAAAGGGGGGGGGGCUUGCCUGGUUGCUCUGGCAAGGAGGGGUCGUCGGUCGACAUAGUCGAUCACAGGGGCAGCAUCGGUCUCGGGGUCUACCGGAGAGAAGAGAGGGAAGAAACAGUAAAUAUAAAGCAAACAUAGCAUAACAGGACAACAAGCAGAGCUAGACGUGUUAUAACGUGGUGCUACACGAUACCGGCGAGGGGGGAAGUCAACCAGGAAUGUUUUCCCGGUUUCGGACCUGUGUUAGACAGUUGACCGGAGGGGGGAAGUUCCAUGUUCAGCAUGAUAGGGGCAUGUGACAGAUGAACGGACCGCAUAUUCGGAUUCGUCACGUUUUUCUAAGCAACUUUCAUGUAGAAAACAUUUUCAUCGAAGUUACAGUUUAAUUUAUAUGAUUUUUCAAAGAUUAAACCAUACUCUGGAAUUAUUUAUAUUAACAUACAUGGAAUAUGACGUCAACAUGACGUAGGAGUGACGUCAGCAGUCAAUAGUCCGGUUGACUGGUCAAAACUAACAUGGGGGACCCACCUGUCAUAGACAUUGGGUUAAAUAGGGUUUAAACUAAUCUAAAUUUAGGUAGUAAAACUACUGGGCCCACCUGUCAGUGUCUAAUUAACUAAUCUAAUUAGUUUUAAUUAUUAAAAUGUUUUAAUUAGAGGAUUAAGCGGUGGGACCCGCACGUCAGUGGCUGGGGCCUGCCCAGUCAGCACUAUUGACCUGGUCAACUGGUCAACAGGGGGCCAGGGGCCCCACUGGCAGUGACCCAGGGGGUGGCCCCGGGUGUGCCACGUUGGCGGUGGCCGGCGGCUUGACACCGGCGAUGCCAAAACGCGGCGGAGGGCCUCGGGCCUCGUCGGAUUUCGCCUAUGGGCAACCGUUUCGCGCGCGCAAGGGCGCGUUCGAACGAGCGGAGCAGCGCAUGUCGGACUGCGGUGUUGGCCCGACCGGAAACACACUAAAACAACAGCGGCGCGCACCGCGGUGGUCGCCGGAGUUCAAGCAAACCCGCGGUCGGCGCUAGAGGCUACGGGGAAGGGACCUAGCAGCACGGGCGGAUGCGGAGGUGGCCUGAGCACUCUCGAGUGCUCGGGUGAGCAUGACGAUGCCCAUGGCGACGGUGGUGAGCUAUGCGGCGGAGCUGAGCUCGGCCCUGGCGGACGCGGUAGCUACGGGAGUGCAAGAGGCCAGGGGAGCAAGGGAAGGGGAAGAGGGGCUCACUUUGCGGCACGCACGGUGGCCCUCGGAGGUUUAGUAGCAGCAGAGACGGCACUGGAGACGAAGGAAAUUGACGGCAGCCGGAGAUGGGGACGACGAUGAACGGCGGCUGUGGUGCUUCCCGGUUCCAGCGAAGGGCGCCAGUCGAAGGAGCCGACCCUGGCGAAGCUCACCGACAGGGUCAGCGGGCGUGGGGCCGCUGGUGGCCGUGACAACGACGAAGGGCGGCGACGACUGCGCUCGGAGGUGGACGGGGAACGAGGGGGGAGGCGAGGAGGAAUCUAGUGGGAGAGGGAGAGGUGGAGCGGCAAGUGGGGGUAGCUGGGGAGGAGGACGAGGCAUCGAGGGGGGGCGCAGAGGCCUUAUACUCUCGUGGAGACGUCGACGGCGAGGUGGUUCGGCAGCGACGGGCGCGCUCUGCCUUGCCCGGUCGGAGUAAUAGGAGGGAGGCACGCUUCGGGGAGCUGGGCCGGCCAGGCUGGGUGAGGUGGGUCAGCCUGCUGGGAUGGGCCGAAGCCCAAGGGGAGGCCAGGGGCUCUCCCACCCCUUCUUCUUUCCUUUUUUUGGUUUUUUUCCAGCAGCUGCCUUUUCUUUUUAGCCAAUAAUGACUUUGCAAAAUUACGCCAUUGGCCAAAACAAUUUAAAAGAAUUAAAGUGCACUGCCACAAAAAGGUUGGGAGGCUUUUGGAAUAGUUGCCAAUUUUAUAAAUUAAAAAGGGCAUUUAAUUUAUUGCUUAGGUCACUGUUUUAAGUAGCUUAGGCCACUUAAACCUUUGCAAAAAUGUUGGUUCACCACCAAUAUUAACAAAUGACUAUUUGCCAGAAGAUGAACAUUUUAGAUCUCCUGUCUGACAAAUAAGAGUUUUUGACUUUAGAUUGGAUUUGAAUUUGAAUAGGUGAUUUGGAUCAAGUGAAGAUUAGCAACAGUAACAAUGAUGACAAGGCAUCAUUAGAAGGGGAUUACUGUAGCAUGAUUCUCGGGGUUUUACAAAUCUCCUCCACUACAAGAAAUCUCGUCCCGAGAUUUAAGAGGCGGAGUAAGGGAGAUAGACUCGGGAAGGACGGAGCUCAACACAAGAUAGGUACCUGGGGGCUAUCUCAGUGAGCGUGGCAUAGAGGCAUCUCUCAAGUUGAAAUCCAAGAAAGUCAUCGAGAGCAAGGUAAUAAGGUGCAAUAAGAAGCUUCAACUUGGUAGGCAAUCAUUCGUUGCCUGGAACAAAGGCUGAAAGGGGUUCAGAGCAAUGGUAAUAAGUAUUGUGUCUGAUACCAGAAUAGAUCGCCUCUCGGAAGGCGGCUCGGGAUUUUCAUAUGAAGCCAAGCGUGAGAAAUAACCUUAGAAACAAGGGUGUACAGGAGAGUCAGGUUUCGAUCUUGUGGAACUGUGGGUUAUGGGCCCAAUAUGUGGGUUAAAAGCAGGAAGGCGUUAACAUCUUGAAUGGUCAUGAUAGCAAGGCAGGUCAGAGGAUAGUCUGUCAGUUAUGUUUGCAACAAAGUUUGGUACCAAGGGCGUGGGACGAAGAGAACCAUUUUCCUGCUCAUAAGACGAGGUGGACCAAUCGGCAAAGUUCUCAUCCAACGGUGGUUACUGGAAUGUCAUCAACAAUAGUAACAGGGUCUUACUGACAUUGUUGUACACCGAGGUGCCUACUUAAGCAGGGAUUUAUCUCUGGUCAGACAAGUUAGAUCACAAGAAAGGUUAAACAAAACAAUGGAAAGGAAAAUGUGAUUAUCAGAUUAAAUAGACCAGUGGCAAGGAAAAUGUGUUUAUACCCAAGUGUUAGAGUAUAACUUUCCUAAGGAAAGGCAGAGCAUGAUAGGGCUCCAAGUAUUAAGCCGUUUAGACAAAGGGGCAAGGAAUUUAUGAGGUUUACCCAUACAAUGGUGUUUGGAUAAUUGAUCAAGAAUAGUUAGCAUUGCGCUCCCAAUGUUCUUGUUGAUGAUCGGAGUACCACACACAUGCUUCAGGAUAGUGUUGACAUGGUCAUCGGGGAAAGUUCAGACUUCGGAUACAUAAAGGAUCCAUCGGAACAACUUAUAAAAUAAGUCAUACAAUUUCAGCAAGAAAAAUGAUUUUGUGGCCGGUGGGCUCAGGAACAAUUCAUCAAGGGGCAAGGAUGGUAUUACUCAUCAGGAAUUCGAUUGAUAUCCUGAAACAACUCAGAAUGUUGGUGAUGAUCAUGACACAUCUGUCGAGAGAUUUCAUGAAGAUGUAAUCGAUCAGCGAUGACAUCACGUCAAAGGGAUGAUGAAGCGAAAGGUUAUUGGUACCAUGGGUACGACACAAACUCGAAAGCAAGCUUGCUGUUCACGGCGAAAUGAUAUGAUGAGGAAGGUCAACGUAAGCUUAGCUCAUCAUUGAAAGUUGUGUUCCGGGAAUAAGGACCGGGUAGCACAGUUAAAAUUAGCACGAUAAUGAUAUACCCGAUCAGGCUAGGAAUGACUUGAAGGAUUAUUUAACUCGUAAGCAACAAAUAUUACUUAGAAUUAUUGAUUUGGUGCAGGAUCGAUUCACUUAUCGGUGUUCUUGAGUGGCUAAUAAAUCAGAACCCAAGGGAAAUAUGAAAAGCAAUACUAGAUGAAGACUCAUAGGAAGCAACAUAGUUCUUUGAUAUUCUCGAGAUACCAGGGGUAAUACUCGAAGGUAGAUCAUAAUAGAGGUUGGGCAGGUGUAUUGACCUGUAGAAGACAAGUGAUUUAACUUGUCCGCGAAAUGGAGUUAAGGAGAAACUAUGGUCGGAACCACGAUUAUGAAUGAUCAAUCCACCGAUACAAGAUGAACUUAUAACAAGGGGUAAUUAUUUUUACGAGCAGCUUCCAUGAUAAGUUCUACAUCGGUUCCAUGGGCAUGAACACAAAGGUUCAAGGUCGAAUCCCACUUCUUCAAUGCAUAACCUUUCAUUCACUCCUCGUUUUUGAAGAAUUUGUAGUGCGAAAGAUUUACCUGGUGAAGCACCAGAAGAGUAUGACUCACAUCUCUUUCGAGUUCACAUGGAUUGGUGAAGGCAUAGGUUCAACCCGUAGGGGUAUCUUAGGAACAUAUGCCACUAACUUCAGGAUUAAAAUAUACCAGCUCGAAAGCAGAGCAUGGUUGACAAAAGCAGAUGAUAGAAUUUACCAAAGACAUUAGGUGUCAGGGCAAAACUCACAAGUUUAAUGAAUAUGAAGGACAUUGUCGGAUAACAAUCCAACCAAGGAUAUGGCGGUCCAUAAAAGAUCUGAUGUGAGUAUCGAUACUCACCCAGAAGAAGAAAGAAUGCAAAGACAUCGGGUUAUAGAUAUAACCGGAUAACUUCAAAGCUUGAAUACAAAGGAAUUACGAUUUUCAAAUCAGAAGAUCUGAAGCAGAGGCUCUGAUCAAAAGAUAAUUGAGUUGAAUCGAUACAGAUCGAUAGUCAAACAAGGUUUGAUUUGACAAGAACAAGCUCAUGUUUGGAGUGACAUCUGAGCCGGAAGGAUGAAUGCUAGGAUGUGAUUGACGAUUACGAGCAUUCGUGACAUAUUGGAUCAAGGGACUCGAAACGAUAGUGACAGAGGAUGUCAACGAAGAUUACUAGAAUUAUGGAAUUAACCAUAAUACAAGCAAACAAGAAUUUCAACAAUAAUAGGCUGUUGAGGAUUAUCGGAAGAUCGAGUAGUAUUUCAAAGACUUUUGUGAAUCAUAUGAACAACUGGGAAAAACCAAAUCCUCGAUAUGUGUGAUGAUUAAUUUGUCGAUGUAUUCAGGCGACAAGGAACUGCAAGGCAGUAGGCACAAAAGGAUUCUCAAAACAAUGACAAGUAUUUCGGGGUAUCUUGUAAUAACAAGAGCAACUGGGGAUGAAGGUAUGAGCGACAAGGAUAUGCAGUUAUCCAUAGGGAUUCAACGGUGUUAAGGGACUGCAAAGGAAAUGAACACAAGUUCUCGGGAGUAGAUCGGAGAAUAUCUUCGAAGUCUUCUGGUGAAGCAGGCAACCAUCCGGAAUGAAGGGGCUCUCCGGGGAAAGUCGUUAUGAGAACCUAAUGUAGUUAGUAAAUUCAUUUAACCCGAAUAGAAGAGAGAACAGAGUCCCAGAGUAUAGACGAGGAAUAAAAGAUCCUAAUACCACCCAUAUGGCGACGUGGGCCCGUAAGACACACAACCAUGUUAGUAAAAGUUUUUGUAGUGACUAGACUCGACUUCGGCCAAGGAGUUGGAAAGGGGGCUACCUACAGGCAGUCGGCUCUGAUACCAACUUGUGACGCUCUCGAUUCAAUCAUACACUAAUCAUACACGCAAAUGUGUACGAUCAAGAUCAAGGACUCACAGGAAGAUAUCACAACACAACUCUAGACACAAAUUAAAAUAAUACAAGCUUUAUAUUACAAGCCAGGGGCCUUGAGGGCUCGAAUACAUAAGCUCGAAUACACAAGAGUUAGCGUAAGCAACAAUAUCUAAGUACAAACAUAAGUUAGACAAGUUUGCCUUAAGAAGGCUAGCACAAAAGCAUCUACGAUCGAAAAGGCAAGGCCUCCUGCCUGGGAGCCUCCUAACUACUCCUGGUCAUCAGCAUCCUCCACGUAGUAGUAGGCACCCUCGGGGUAGUAGUAGUCGUCAUCAAAGGUGGCGUCUGGAUCCUGGGCUCCGACAUCUGGUUGCAUCAACCGGAAAGAAGAAGAAAGGGGGAAAAGGGGAAGCAAAGCAACCGUGAGUAAUCAUCCAAAGUACUCGCAAGCAAGGAUCUACACUACAUAUGCAACAUUAUCAAAGAGGGGCUGUAUAUGUGGACUGGGAUGCAGAAAUGCCAGAAUACAUAGAAGGCCUAGUCCUAUCGAAGACUAGCAUCUUCUGGAAACCACCAUUGAGGGAGUCCUGGACUAGGGGGUGUCCGGAUAGCCGAACUAUCAUCAUCGACCGGACUCCAAGACUAUGAAGAUACAAGAUUGAAGACUUCGUCCCGUGUCCGGAUGGGACUUUCCUUGGCGUGGAAGGCAAGCUUGGCGAUACGGAUAUCUAGAUCUCCUACCAUUGUAACCGACUUUGUGUAACCCUAUCCCUCUCCGGUGUCUAUAUAAACCGGAUGGUUUUAGUCCAUAGGACGAACAACAAUCAUACCAUAGGCUAGCUUCUAGGGUUUAGCCUCCUUGAUCUCGUGGUAGAUCUACUCUUGUAAUACCCACAUCAUCAAUAUCAAUCAAGCAGGACGUAGGGUUUUACCUCCAUCAAGAGGGCCCGAACCUGGGUAAAACAUCGUGUCCCUUGUCUCCUGUUACCAUCCGCCUAGACGCACAGUUCGGGACCCCCUACCCGAGAUCCGCCGGUUUUGACACCAACAUUGGUGCUUUCAUUGAGAGUUCCUCUAUGCCGUCACCAAUAGGCUCGAUGGCUCCUUCGAUCAUCAACAACGACGCAGUCCAGGGUGAGACUUUUCUCCCUGGACAGAUCUUCGUAUUCGGCGGCUUUGCACUGCGGGCCAUUUCGCUUGGCCAUAUUGAUCAGAUCAAAAGCUACGCCCCUGGCCGUCAGGUCAGAUUUGGAAGUUUGAACUUCACGGCUGACAUCCGCGGAGACUUGAUCUUCGAUGGAUUCGAGCCACAGCCGAGCGCGCCGCACUGUCACGAUGGGCAUGAUUUAGCUCUGUAGCCGGACAGUGCCCUGGAGGCCGCACAUGAGUCCGCUCCGACCCUCAAUUCGGAGCCGGCUGCGCAGAUCGAGGACGGGUGGCUAGACACCGCCUCAGGGGCUGCAACUUCUACGGCGAUGGAGCUGAAUACUGACCUUAUCCCUUGUGAAGCUCGUGACUCUGAGGUGCCGGACUCCUUGCCGGACUCCGAACCUCCCGCGCCCCCUCCAAUCGAAUCCGAUUGGGCGCCGAUCAUGGAGUUCACCGCUGCGGACAUCUUUCAACACUCACCUUUCGGCGACAUCCUGAGUUCGCUAAAGUAUCUCUUGUUAUCAGGAGAGACCUGGCCGGACUGUGGUCAGGACGGUUGGGAUGCGGACGAUGAAGAAAUUCAAGGCCCAUCCACCACCCACUUAGUAGCCACUAUCGAUGAUCUAACCGACAUGCUAGACUUCGACUCCGAAGACAUCGACGGUAUGGACGAUGAUGCUAGAGAUGACCAAGAACCAGCGCCUACUGGCCACUGGAAAGCCACCUCAACUCACGACGUAUACAUGGUGGAUACACCAAAAGGAAGCGAUAACGAGGAACAACGGGACGUGGCGAAGGACAACUCCCCCGAAAAACAACCAAAACGACGACGCAAGCGCCGCCCGAAGUCCCGCCUCGAUAACAACGGCACCCAUACUGACCCAGCCUUAGAGCAGGGCGAAGCAGUGGACGAUGAACAUGCCACCAAGCAACCAUCUGAACAGGAUGAAUUGGACAAGCAACACAUCCCCGGGGAAAACAACAGUCCAGACGAUCUCACGCCGGACACAUCACCGGAGCAUAAGAACCUUCAUAAAAGGCUCGUCGCCACUGCAAGAAGUUUGAAGAAGCAAAAGCGGAAGCUCAAAACAGCGGAGGACGCACUCAGAAUGAGAUGGAGCAAAGUACUUAAUACCGCAGAUAAAUACGGAGAUAGUCACCAGGCAAAGAGCUACCCGAAGCGCAAGCUGUUGCCCGAAUUUGAUGAGGAGGUCGUAGAGCCCCCACAGUCAACAAAGAAAGAGGCCGCCUGGACGGAUAGACGACCAGAUGACAGGCUAAGAGUGGCAAGCGGCGCCGCACACAAGCCGGCACACGGUCCACAUAAGGAUCCUCGCAAAAAGGAUGGCCCGGUCAGGUCCAUCUAUGGGCCAAAAAAGAAGACUCCAGGGAGCAACACAACCCGCUGAGUGUUUGAAGACAACGGCACACCUAAAUACAGGGGCGCCGCACACCCACUAUGUUUCACCGAUGAGGUAUUGGAUCAUGAAUUUCUAGCGGGAUUCAAACCCGUAAACAUAGAGGCAUAUGACAGAACAACAGACCCCGAAGUCUGGAUUGAGGAUUAUAUCCUACACAUACAUAUGGCCAGAGGAGACGAUCUCCAUGCCAUAAAAUACCUACCCCUCAAGCUCAAAGGGCCAGCUCGGCAUUGGCUCAAAAGCCUCCCAGAAAAUACCAUUGGAAGUUGGGAAGAGCUCGAGGAUGCAUUUCGAGCAAAUUUUCAGGGGACUUAUGUACGCCCUCCGGAUGCAGACAAUUUAAGUCACAUAACUCAACAGCCCGGAGAGUCAGCACACAAAUUCUGGAACAGGUUCCUCACCAAAAAGAACCAAAUAGUCGACUGUCCGGACGCCGAAGCCUUAGCAGUCUUUAAGCAUAACGUCGAGAUGAAUGGCUCGCCAGACACCUCGGCCAGGAAAAACCAAGAACAAUGGCCGCGCUAACAAGCCUCAUGACCCGCUUUUGUGCGGGGGAAGACAGCUGGCUGGCAAGAUGCAGCACCACCAACCCGAGUACAUCCGAGGUCAGGGAUGGAAAUGGGAAAUCACGACGCAGAAAAGAUCAGUGCCGGAAUAAGGAAAAUGGCCCAAAUAGCACGGCGGUCAACGCCGGGUUCAAAAGCUCUCGGCCGAAUAAUAGAACACUGCCUCUUAAGGACAACAGUGAUGAGCUAUCCAACCUAAACAAAAUCUUGGAUAGGAUAUGUCAAAUCCAUAGUACCCCCGGGAAGCCUGCAAACCAUACCCACAGAGAUUGUUGGGUCUUCAAGCAGUCCGGCCGACUUACACUGAACACAAGGGGCUCGACACACCAAGCGAAGACGACGACGAACCCCACAAGCAGCACACCGGAAAACAGAAGACUUUCCCACUAGAAGUCAAAACAGUGAACUCACUUCAUGUGAUAACAAGGAAAAAUAGUGCGGCACCUGCUAAAACACGCGCCGCACGGUCCACCCCCGGCAGAGUCCCGAAAUUGGAUGUUUAAACAAAUUACUUUCGACCAUCAGGAUUACUCCAGAAGUGUUCGAAACGCAGGAGGGACUGCUUUGGUAUUGGAUCCCAUAAUCGACGGACUACAAUUCACACAAGUCCUAAUGGAUGGCGGCAGCGAUAUAAACCUGCUAUACCAGGACACCAUCCGCAGAAUGGGGAUAGACCCUACCAAAAUUCGCCGUAGCAGCACUUCCUUCAAAGGAGUGACGCCAGGCCUUUACACCAAUUGUACAGGCUCUGUACUACUAGAGGUUUUGUUCGGUUCAUUCGACAACCUCCAUCGCGAAAAGCUCAUUUUCCAUAUCGCCCCAUUCAAAAGCAGCAAUCAAGCACUACUGGGACGCGAAGCUUUCGCCCUCUUUAACGCAAUACCGCAUUACGCGUCUCUUGCGCUUAAAAUGCCCGGUCCACGCGGCAUAAUCUCAUUAAAGGGUAACUCCGAGUGUUCCUCGACCACGGAAAACGUGAGACUGCCUUGACAGCCACACACUAAUCCGACCUUGCUGGUCAAAGCCCCUAAAAAUAGGUCAUUCAGACCUCGGACACGGUUAGGCGAGUCCGGCAUAAAUGAACAAGGGGCUUCCCAGCCGCAUACCUCUUUAUAAGGGGCUGCACGUAUAAACAAUGAGAGCCAAUAAAGCUCAACUUUAUUCAUCUUCCAAAUCAUACUUUAUUUUAAAUACAUCUUUUGCACGAUAUUUUUUCCAAACUAAGUUCUUCUCUUUUACAGAUGAAGCACGUGGUACACCCGUCCAGGAUACAGCACAACGGAGACACAGGCGCAGACAUGCAGCAGGGACCCGUUGCAAGGAUUCUUUUCAGAUUAAGACCCUGCGUAAACCUUUCUUACUGUCUCUUGUUGAUACACAUCCCCCGGUUUCCUACCAUAACCGAGGAGGAGGCUGGCGUUUUGGCAUCGGCCGCGUCAGAAGUUCUCGCCCGUACCUGGACACUAGGGGCUUAGGGCAUUGUUCUGCCCGGUAUCAUAAAGACCGAAUACCUCAGGGAGUGUUCGGCGUCUCGAGUUAGGCCUUAUAUGCAUCAGCUCCGAAUCAUGUCUUUGGUUAAAUUUGGGUUUGCCCGGCUCCUGUGUUUUGCUGCCUUACGUUCCGCUCCAUCGGCUAACGCGGCACCAGGAGAACUACUGCGAUUGUGCCCCGGUUCGGCCGGGCGAGCACCUCAGUAGAGAAAGCCGAAAACUUACUGUCAUGAUAUAGCGAGAGACUGGUCAACCACUCGAUCGACUACUGAAAUGUUUAGAAUUCCUCCGCUUUGACGAAGGACCGCUUCCCGGUCAAGCACAUACUCGCCCCGAGUUCGGAGAGCGCGGUGCCUCUAGGGGCUAUAUAGUAGCCCCACCAUCGAGCUCCUAUGGCUAAGUGAAAGUGAUAAAGCAUUAUAGUCUGGUUGCCUAGUUUGCUAUGCUAUCACCUCCUUCAAAGGACCAAGACGUUGGAUUAAGUGUGAAAAAGCGCUUUUUUUGCAAACACCCCCGCACCAUGUGCGUGGGGGCUGAAGCCAAAGACUGCCAUCUUUCAGGUCAUACAUACAUAUACGGCCGCACAGGAGAUAGUUCAAUACUUGAACGCACAAGUAUAAAAAGUCGUUACAUUAUAAACAUGAUCUCACAAAUCAUACAUGUCAUUUGAACAUAACAUCUUUCGAGCACUGCGACUCUAUUAAACGAGCGCCCUGCAGGACUUCCUCAAAAUAGUGCUCGGCGGGUAAUCGGCUUUUGUCCGAACCCCGGGAUGCAACAUCGGUGCCAUCCAUCUCUGCCUAGUAUGUCUUAGCACGGGCGAGAGCCAUCCGUGCACCCUCUAUGCAUGUCGACCGCUUCAUCGCCUCGAUAUGCGACACCGCCCCAAGGAAUUGCUGCAAGAAGCCAAAAUAACUCUCCGGCUUGGGCCUUUCUGGCCAUAGAUGAGCCACCACAUCCGUCAUGGCAAGUCCGGACAAUCUAUUUAGCUCAGCCCACUCAGCCAACCGAUCAAUCAAUGGAAGUGGACGCUCCGGACUAUGGAAUUGAGACCAGAAAAGCUCUUCCAUUUCGUGAUCCUUCUGGCUUCGGAAGUGCACGACUGCGUCCGCCGCACUCGCCGCCAAAUCCAGAUAAGGAUCCUCCGCACCCCACAAUUGGCCCAACUGAGCAUACUUCGGAUCCGUGAACUUCCUACGCAGUAGAAAUGGCUUUCCAGCCGCAAUGUCUCCGGCCUGACGCAGUUCCUCCUUCAUAGCCCGCAUCGCACAACAGGCAUCCUUGGCUUCGGCGGCGGCCUUCUUCAGGUCCUCUUGCUCCGCUCGGUGUUCUCUUUAAAGAACCUCAUAGCGGUCGGUAGCAUCUUCUAAUUCCACGGCCAUUCCGGCCAUCUCCUCCCUGCUUCUGCAGUGAGCAGCCUUUUCGGCUUUUAGCUCUUCCGCUGCCUUCGAGGCAGCCGCAUCACUUUUCCUGGCUUGCUCCUUGGCUCGAGCAAGCUCUGCUCGAAGGUCUUCCACAGCAGCGGCACCAUCUGCAUCAAGCAUACAAAUUGUAAGGAACGGGCAUCAGCUCCCUUACUAGGUGACCGCGGAGAAACCACCUACCUUGUGACUCGUCAAGUCAUUUAUUGACCAGCGCGAUGUCCGCAUCCGCAACGUCGAGUUGCCGCUUCAGCUCGGCAACUCCAUCAGUCUGGCUGGCCACCGAACGUUCCGCCACCUACAUAGGAAAGGCGACAUUCUAUAACUGAGAUUAUGAUCCUCGGCACGCUGUCGCUUUCGACAGCAUACCAAGUCUUAGGGGCUACUAUCUAUACAGGGCGCACUCCAUGUGCAAAACUGUCAAAAGGUAUGUCAUUUUUUGCGUACCUCAAACCCCGUCAGCAAACUUCCGACGGCCUCAUGCAACCCGCUCUCGGCGGAUGAGAUCCUUUCAAUCACCAUACUCAUUAAUGUGUGGUGAUCUUCUGAGAUAGACGCCCUCUCGAGCAAACCCUGCAGCUCCACCGGCCGUACUCCAGUGGGUGCCGAACUCCCUGGCCCCGCCGGACUCGGGGAGACCCUCCAUGACGACACCUCAGGGUCGUCCGCCCUGCCCGACGGGGCGGCAGAUGGAGGCGUUUCGCUCUCCAUCAUCUCCGGACGAAGGUCCCCCGAAGGUGAGCUCUGCUGAGAAGGGCUGAGAUCCGAACUACAAGGUGAAAAUUUUGGUUACCCUUAGAAAUAAAGUAGGGAUGUCCCCUAUUACAAAACUCCCCCUUUUUACUUACGGCUCGCUGGAGGGCUGAUUCCUUUGGGGAGACUGUGCGGCCAGGGCUCUUCCCGGUACAGGACCUUCCGUUGCAGAUUUCUUUCCCUACUUUGAGGCCUUGGCCUCCAGGUCUUCGGAAGCGGUCCUCUUCUCCCCCUGGAGGGAGGGACUCUCGAUUCUCCCCUUACUGAAAGCCUCCUUGGUAGAGGUGGUAGUUUCCCUGUGCCCCCCUUCGCCCUCCUCCGAAGGUGCAACCUCCAACAUUUUGAUUAACACGGGAUCCAGCGUGGUCUCAGGGAGGGGGGCCGGACAUCGUAUCAGUUUUGCUUGCGCUAUCCACUCCUGUCCAAGGGAUAGCUGGUUAAAAGGCAAACCCAUGAUAAAUAAAUGGACAAUGUGUCCGGACACAGGGCUACUUACUUGAGUAUCCAGGCGAUUGCAGCUUAGGCCAGCGUCCUCGGUCAAGUCCGGACGCAUCUCUUGUGAUCCGAAGAACAGUUUGUACAUCUCCACGGGUGUCAAACCCAUGAAGUGUUCGAGAGCUCGUGGUCCCUCUGGAUUAAAUUCCCACAGCCAGAGGGGGCGACGUUUGCAGGGCAGAAGGCGCCGAAUCAGCAUAACCUGUGUCACUACAACCAGAUUGUUCUUCCUUUCUUGGAGGUCUCGAAUCCGGCCCUGCAAUAGGGGUACGUCUUUGGACGCCCCCCAGUCAAGCCCUUUGUUGACCCAUGACGUCAGCCGUUGUGGAGGGCCCGGGCGAAAGGCGGGCGGCGGCCUCUGCCUGCUGCCCCUGGGAGCGGUGAUAUAGAACCACUCCUGUUGCCACAAGCCGAGCUCCUCCUGAAAAGAGCCCUCAGGCCAUGGAGCAUUGGCCCUCUUGCUUAUAACUGCCCCGCCGCACUCUGCAUGACGCCCCUCAAUCAUCUUCGGCUAUACGUUGAAGGUUUUGAGCCACAAGCCGAAGUGAGGGGUAGUGCGGAGGAAGGCUUCGCAGACGACAAUGAAUGAUGAGAUGUGGAGGAUGGACUCCGGAGCCAAGUCAUGGAAUUCCAGCCCAUAGUAAAACAUGAGCCCCCUCACGAAGGGAUCCAUCGGGAAGCCUAAACCCCGACGGAGGUGAGACACGAACACGACACUCUCGCCGGGCUCGGGAGUAGGAAUAACUUGCCCUUGGGCAGGCAACCUAUGCGAAAUCUCGUAGGUUAAGUACCUGGCGUCUCUCAGCUUUAGCACGUCCUCUUCCGUGAUGGAGGAGGGCAUCCACCGGCCUCGUAGGUCGGAGCCGGACAUUGUCAAAGGUCGAAAGUACCUGAAUCUGGAGCCCUGGGUGUUGGAACUCGGGGUGAGGGGCGGAUUCGAUUGAGGAUUGAAGAAAAAGAACGGGCCUUGGUCUCAUUAUAAAGAGGGAGAAUACCAAGAGUCGUCCCCAUGACCGUUUGGAACCCGCCUUCAAUGGAGGGGGCGUGGCAACGGGCGCGGUUGGGUUACCCACGUUCGUAUUGAUGAGAAUCCCGGAAUAAGGGGAACACGAUCUCUGCUUCGACAAGACGUGCCAAGGAAACCGCUUCGCUAAACGCACGGAGGUGGUAUAAUAAAAAUGAUUCGAGUAAAGGCUUUGUUGUGGUGUGACGUCAUGCCACAAAAUACGUCAGCAGAUUGAACUUGUGUAAAUAUUAUUCUCUCUAUGGUGGUAUGUGGAAUUUAUUUUGCAGAGCCGGACACUAUCCUGGUGUUCACAAUCUUCUAUAAAUUAUUCGGAGGAGGAACCCGCCUUGCAAUGUCGAAGACAAUAUGCGCGCCGGACUCGUCGUCAUUGAAGCCUGGUUCAGGGGCUACCGAGGGAGUCCUGGACUAGGGGGUGUCCGGAUAUCCGAACUAUCAUCAUCGACCGGACUCCAAGACUAUGAAGAUACAAGAUUGAAGACUUUGUCCCGUGUCCGGAUGGGACUUUCCUUGGCGUGGAAGGCAAGCUUGGCGAUACAGAUAUGUAGAUCUCCUACCAUUGUAACCGACUCUGUGUAACCCUAGCCCUCUCCGGUGUCUAUAUAAACCGGAUGGUUUUAUUCCAUAGGACGAACAACAAUCAUACCAUAGGCUAGCUUCUAGGUUUUAGCCUCCUUGAUCUCGUGGUAGAUCUACUCUUGUAAUACCCACAUCAUCAAUAUCAAUCAAGCAGGACGUAGGAUUUUACCUCCAUCAAGAGGGCCCGAACCUGGGUAAAACAUCGUGUCCCUUGUCUCCUGUUACCAUCCGCCUAGACGCACAGUUCCGGACCCCCUACCCGAGAUCCGCCGGUUUUGACACCGACAACCAUCUUGCAGCAAACAGGAGGGAGUAGAGUAGCAUAAAGUAAAGUAGUAGUAGUGUUAUCAACCUCGGCUAGAGAUCCUUUCUCGACUCCCUGUGAGAAAGCAAUCCCAGAUCCAUACUAUCCAAUUGUCAUGACAAUCCAAUUCUCAUCACCAUCCAAUUCUCAUCACCAUCCAAUUCUCAUCACAAGUAUCCAGUUCUAGUUGUAUCGAUCGGGAUACAACUCCGAGUGUCCGUUACCGUAGGACAGGCUAUCGAUAGAUGUUUUCUUCCCUACAGGGGUGCACCAACUUACCCACCACGCUCGAUUAACUCCGGCCGGACACACUUUCCUGGGUCAUGCCCGGCCUCGGCCAAACAAUACGCCGCAACCCGACAUAGGCUUAAUAGAGAGGUCAGCAUGCUAGACUAAACAUAUGCCCCCAGGGGUCAUGGGCCAUCGCCCUAGGAACUCCUGCAUGUUGUGAGGGCGGCUGGUGAGCAGACCUAGCUACCUCCCUAAAAAGGCAGGUGCUUACUAGUCCAACCCGGCACGCGCCGCUCAGUCGAUGACAUCUAUUAAGCUUCGGCUGAUGCAUACGAUGCAGAAUGCCCAUACUAUGCCCACGUGAUGGUUAGUACUAUCAGGCCAGAGGCCCCUCGGAUCAAAUAUCCAAAUCGUAGUGGAUUAGGAGCACGCGGUAACAAGCAGAGACUCACGAAAGAUGUGACCCCGUUGCCCCAUCUUGAGGACUUGCGGCUAGGGCUAAGAAUGCCCGGCCACGCCUCGUAUUCAACUCUCGGGUACCCUCCAAGCCAACCCGUCUCCACAUCACUCGCAAUUAUGCUCGCGCGGGUACCCCUCAGGGUCAACCCGUCUUUAGUAACAUGGUUCAGUGUAAAGUCAUAGUAAUCAUAGUAACUGUGUGUCUAAACAUCAAGGGGAAAACCUGAGGAAUCACCCCCGGUUAAUUCCACUCGAUGUAAUCAUCAAGGUGAACAUAAGAGGAAUCACCCUCGAGGUUCACACUUGAGGGGUUGCACGACAGAGUUGUAUCGAAAGUGGUUAAGGCGGAAUCACCCUCGAUGACCAUGACCGAAUGGCUACACUACAGAGUUAACAUCAGAAGUGUUGUAGAGGUCUCACCCUCGGCACUCGAUAGUAACCCAGCAGUGUCGAUCAACUAAGGGGGAAGUGAUGUGUGGUGCCGGGGCCUGGUCUUCGAUCCCGUUGAUCGGGUCUUCGAUGAUGAAGAAGGGGCAACAAGGACAAGGUGGAGGUACCUGAUGGAUCACUAACCAACCUAUACUAAGCAGUUUAGGAUAAUCAGGUAAUGUACAACAGUAGAUACAAAAGCAGGCUAUGCAUCAGAAUAGGAGCAAACAAUGACAGUAGCAAAAUCUAAUGCAAGCAUGAGAGAAUGGAAUGGGCGAUAUCNNNNNNNNNNNNNNNNNNNNNNNNNNNNNNNNNNNNNNNNNNNNNNNNNNNNNNNNNNNNNNNNNNNNNNNNNNNNNNNNNNNNNNNNNNNNNNNNNNNNNNNNNNNNNNNNNNNNNNNNNNNNNNNNNNNNNNNNNNNNNNNNNNNNNNNNNNNNNNNNNNNNNNNNNNNNNNNNNNNNNNNNNNNNNNNNNNNNNNNNNNNNNNNNNNNNNNNNNNNNNNNNNNNNNNNNNNNNNNNNNNNNNNNNNNNNNNNNNNNNNNNNNNNNNNNGGGUCUACCGAAGAGAAGAGGGGGAAGAAACAGUAAAUAUAAAGCAAACAUAUCAUAACAGGACAACAAGCAGAGCUAGACGUGUUCUAACGCGGUGCUACACGAUACCGGCGAGGGGGGAAGUCAACCGAGAAUGUUUUCCCGGUUCUGGACAUGUGUUAGACAAAUGACCGGAGGGGGGAAGUUCCAUGUUCAGCAUGCUAGGGGCAUGUGACAGAUGAACGGACCGCGUAUUCGGAUUCGUCACGUUUUUCUGAGCAACUUUCAUGUAGAAAACAUUUUCAUCCGAGUUACAGUUUAAUUUAUAUGAUUUUUCAAAGAUUAAACCAUACUCUGGAAUUAUUUACAUUAACGGACAUGGAAUAUGACGUCAGCAUGACAUAGGAGUGAUGUCAGCAGUCAACAGUUUGGUUGACUGGUCAAAACUAACAUGGGGGACCCACCUGUCAUAGACAGUGGGUUAAACAGGGUUUAAACUAAUCUAAAUUUAGUCAGUUAAACUACUGGGCCCACCUGUCAGUGUCUAAUUAACUAAUCUAAUUAGUUUUAAUUAUUAAAAUGUUUUAAUUAGAGGAUUAAGCGGUGGGACCCGCACGUCAAUGGCUGGGGCCUACCCAGUCAGCAGUGUUGACCAGGUCAACUAGUCAACAGGGGGCCAGAGGCCCCACUGGCAGUGACCUAGGGGGUGGCACCAGGUGUGCCACGUCGGCGGUGGCCGGCGGCUUGACGCCGGCGAUGCCAAAACGCAGCGGAGGGCCUCGGGCCUUGUCGAAUUUCGCCUACGGGCAACCGCUUCGCGCGUGCGAGGGCGCGUUCGAACGAGCGGAGCAGCGCGUGUCGGACUGCGGUGGUGGCCCGACCGGAAACACACUAAAACAACGGCGGUGCGCACCGCGGUGGUCGCCGGAGUUCGAGCAAAUGCGUGGCCGGCGCUAGAUGCUACGGGGAAGGGACCUAGCGGCAUGGGCGGACGCGGCGAGGUGGCCUGAGCACUCUCGAGUGCUCGGGCGAGCAUGACGAUGCCCAUGGCGACGGUGGUGAGCUAUGCGGCCGAUCUGAGCUCGGCCCUGGCGGACGCGGUGGCUACGGGAGUGCAAGAGGCCGGGGGAGCGAGGGAAGGGGAAGAGGGGCUCACUUUGCGGCACGCACGGUGGCCCUCGGAGGUUUAGUAGCAGCAGAGACGGCGCCGGAGACGAAGGAGAUCGACGGCAGCCGGAGAUGGGGACGAGGACGAACAGCGGCUGUGGUGCUUCCCGGUUCUAGUGAAGGACGCCAGUCGAAGGAGCCGACCCUGGCGAAGCUCACCGACAGGGUCAGUGGGCGUGGGGUCGCCGGUGGCCAUGACAACGACGAAGGGCGGCGGCGACUGCGCUCGGAGGUGCACGGGGAACGAGGGGGGAGACUAGGAGGAAUCUGGUGGGAGAGGGAGAGGCGGAGCGACAAGUGGGGGUAGCUGGGGAGGAGGCCGAGGCAUCAAGGGGGGGCGCGGAGGCCUUAUCCUCUCGUGAAGACGUCGAUGGCGAGGUGGUUCGGCGGCGACGGGUGCGCUCUGCCUCGCCCGGUCGGAGGAAUAGGAGGGAAGCGCGCUUCGGGGAGUGAUACGUCUCCAACGUAUCUAUAAUUUUUGAUUGCUCCAUGCUACUUUAUCUACUGUUUUAGGCAAUAUUGGGCUUUAUUAUCCACUAUUAUAUUAUUUUUGGGACUAACCUAUUAACCGGAGGCCUAGCCCAGAUUUGCUGUUUUAUGCCUAUUUCAGUGUUUCGAGGAAAAGGAAUAUCAGACGGAGUCAAAACGGAACGAAAUCAACUGGAAAAGUUAUUUUCGGAAGGAAAGCCACCCGAUGGACUUGGAGUGCACAUCAGGAGAUACGGGAGGUGCUCAUGAGGGUGGGGGCGCGCCCCCUGGGCGCGCCCCCUGCCUCGUGGGACCCCUGUAGCUCCACUGACGUACUUCCUGCACCCAUAUAUAGCUACGUACCCAAAAACUUCCAGAACAGAACCUAGAUCGGGAGUUCCGUCGCUGCAAGCCUCUGUAGCCACCAAAAACCAAUCAGGGCCCUGUUCUGGCACCCUGCCGGAGGGGGAUCCCAUCACCGGAGGCCAUCUUCAUCAUCCCGGUGCUAUCCAUGACGAGGAGGGAGUAGUUCACCCUCGGGGCUGAGGGUAUGUACCAGUAGCUAUGUGUUUGAUCUCUCUCUCUCUCUCUCUCUCUCUCUCUCUCUCUCUCUCUCUCGUGUUCUCUCUCGUGUUCCCUCUAUGGCACGAUCUUGAUGUAUCCCGAGCUUUGCUAUUGUAGUUGGAUCUUAUGAUGUUUCUCCCCCUAUACUCUCUUGUGAUGAAUUGAGUUUCCCCUUUGAAGUUAUCUUAUCGGAUUGAGUCUUUUAUGAGAACACUUGAUGUAUGUCUUGCGAUCCACUUGAUGUAUGUUUUGGUGAUCAACUUGCGGGUUUUGUGACAUUGGGAACCUAUGCAUAGGGAUUGGCACACGUUCUUGACUCUCCGGUAGUAGCUUUGGGGCACUCUUUGAAGUACUUUUAUGUUGGUUGGAUGAAUCUGAGAUUGUGUGAUGCAUAUCGUAUAAUCAUGCCCACGGAUACUUGAGGUGACAAUGGAGUAUCUAGGUGACAUUAGGGUUUUGGUUGAUUUGUGUCUUAAGGUGUUAUUCUAGUACGAACUCUUUUAUAGAUUGAUCCGAAAGAAUAACUUUGAGGUGGUUUCGUACCCUACCAUAAUCUCUAUGUUUGUUGUCCGCUAUUAGUGGCUUUGGAGUGACUCUUUGUUGCAUGUUGAGGGCUUGUUAUAUGAUCUAUCUAUGUUAUUAUUGUUGAGAGAACUUGCACUAGUCAAAGUAUGAACCCUAGGCCUUGUUUCCUAUCAUUGCAAUACCGUUUACGCUCACUUUUAUCAUUAGUUACCUUGCUGUUUUUAUUAUUUCAGAUUACAAAAAUCUAUAUCUACUAUCUUUUUUGCACUUGUAUCUUCAUCUCUUCGCCGAACUAGUGCACCUAUACAAUUUACCAUUGUAUUGGGUGUGUUGGGGACACAAGAGACUCUUUGUUAUUCGGUUGCAGGGUUGUUUGAGAGAGACCAUCUUCAUCCUACGCCUCCUACGGAUUGAUAAACCUUAGGUCAUCCACUUGAGGGAAAUUUGCUAUUGUCCUACAAACCUGUGCACUUGCAGGCCCAACAACGUCUACAAGAAGAAGGUUGUGUAGUAGACAUCAAGCUCUUUUGUGGCGCCGUUGCCGGGGAGGCUAGGUAAAGGGUACUCACACUCCGUCACUAAGCUCAUUUCUGGCGAGGUGAGUGCUUGAAGGUAUAUCUUUAGAUCUUGCAAUCAAAUCUUUUUGUUUCUUGUUUUAUCACUAGUUUAGUUUAUAAAAGAAAAUUACAAAAAAAAUGGAGUUAAGUUUGUCUCAUACGCUUCACCUUUUUAAUAUCUUUCGUGAGUAUGAUGGAAAGGAAAAUUGUGCUCAAGUGCUAGAAGAAGAAAUCUCUAAAUUGUUUGGCACUAAAUAUUUGAAUGAUGAGCAUGAUUGCAAUGUUGUUAGUACGAAUUCUUUGAAUAUCCAUGAUGCUAAUGAUGAUUGCACUAGUUAUGAUGAAAAUGUCUCCUAUAAGCAUGUUGAUUUUUGUGGAGUAGAUUGGAUUUGCAUGGACACACCAAAUAGGGAAGAUAGAUAUUGCAAGAGGCAUAAGUACUUAGAAACUAAAUUGUUGCAAGAAAGGCUAGAUGUUUGUGUUGAAGAUUUAAAUUAUCUUGGCCAUACUUGUGGACUUUGCAAUGAAAGUGGUCAUUUAGCUAUCCGAUGCAAAUUGUUUCAUGAUCUAAUCGUGUCCAAAAAUUGUGAUGACUUGAUUUCCCUUGCACAUUAUAAUGAACUUAGUUUGCUUAUGGGCUAUGAAGAAAUGAAACGUAUAACCAACUAUCUCCCAGACUUUGCCCGUUAUAAACUUCUUGGUUUUGAUCUAGAGGAAAUUUAUAUGUAUUGUGCGGUAAAUUGCAUUGAAAAUCCUUAUAUUGCCAAUUACAUAAAGAAAAGAAAGCAAAUGGAAGAUGAUGAGAAUACUAAUGAAAGGGAAGAGGCCUCCCAAUCUCCUCCUACUAUUUCUUAUGAUGAAUCAGGUAACGAAGAGGAGCUUUCUAUUCAACCAAUCCCAUCAAUAAGGAGCUCAAAGAGGAAGGUUGAACCUACACAUAAUGUGAAGAAGAAAAAGAAAAGAAGGAGAAACAAAGGUAGAAAGGUAUCCCUCCCAAGUGAUGUUGCUCCUACUACUAGUUGUGAUGAUGAUAAUUGCUAUACUAUUGGUGCUAUCAAUAUUUUUAAUGAUGAGAGUGAUUAUGCUUAUGAUAUGAAAGGACCCAAGCUUGGGGAAGCUAUGUUUGAUUGGGAUGAAAUAUUUGAGAAUAUAUUUGCUUAAAUUAAUGUUUGUCCCAAGCUUGGGGAUUCUAUGUUUAAUGAAGAUGAUAUUUUUAGCAUCCCAAGUUUUGAUAUACAAAGUUGUUAUGAUAAUAGCAUGCCUCUUUAUGAUGAUUAUAUUGAUGAAAGUGGGUUUGGAAGAGUGUCAACUUCAGGAAGUAGUGAUCCCACUAUUUUGGAGGAUGUUGAAUCUUAUUGUGAUGAAUAUGAAAGUGGAUUUGGAAGAGUGUCAACUUUAUUUAGUGAUUCCACUAUCUUGGGAGAGGUUUCAAUCGAUUAUGAUGAGAACGAAGUUGCUACUUAUGAUGAUUAUUGUGAUGAAACUUAUGCUAUAAAAAGUAGUGAUGAUUAUGUUUACAAAUCUUUUCAUGAUUAUGAUUACCCUUUUUCUGAACAUUACUCUUUUAAUGUGGAAACAAUUUUUAGUGUUCAAGUCUCUUAUGAUACUCCUACUAUUCCGAAUGAGAAGAAUUUUGCUUAUGUGGAGAGUAUUAAAAAUUCUAGGCUUGUAGAUCAUGAAAAGAAUGCUUUAGGUGCUGGUUAUAUUGUUGAAUUCAUUCAUGAUGCUACUGAAAAUUAUUAUGAGGGAGGAAUAUAUGCUUGUAGGAAUUGCAAUAAUAUCAAGUUUCCACCCUAUGUGCUUAAAUUCUUGAAGCUAUGCUUGUGUUACCUUCCUAUGCUAGUUGAUUAUUGUUCCCACAAGUUGUUUGCUCACAAAAUCCCUAUGCAUAGGAAGUGGGGGGUUAGACUUAAAUGUGCUAGUCAUAUGCUUCAUGAUGCUCCCGUUAUGUUUCAAUUCUUAUCUUUUAUGUGAGCAUCAUUGUCAUCAUCAUGCCUAGCUAGAAAGGCAUUAAAGAAAAGCGCUUGUUGGGAGACAACCCAAUAUUUAUCCUUACUGUUUUUGUGUGUCCACAUGAUUAUACUACUGUAGUAAUCAUGUUUUAUAGCUUUUGUUUCAAUAAAGUGCCAAGUAGAACCUUUGGGAAGACUUGGGUGAAGUUUAUAUGAUAUUGCUGUAGAAAACAGAAACUUUUGCGCUCACGAGAAUGGCUGCCAUUUUUUACUGGAGAGUCAUUUUAGGUUGAUUCUUUUUGCAUAUGAUUAAUAGACAAAUUUCUCAGGUCCAGCAAUUUAGUUCAUAAUUUUUUGGGUUCCAGAAGUAUACGUUUGAUACAGAUUACUACAGACUGUUCUGUUUUUGACAGAUUCUGUUUUCAUUGUGUUGUUUGCUUAUUUUGAUGCAUCUAUGGCUAGUAUUAAGUGAUAUGAACCAUAGAGAAGUUAGAAUACAGUAGAUAUUACACCAAUAUUAAUAAAGAAUGAGUUCAUUACAGUACCUAAGUGGUGAUUUAUUUUCUUAUACUAACGGAGCUUACGAGUUUUGUGUUAAGUUUUGUGUGGUUGAAGUUUUCAAGUUUUGGGUAAAGAUUCGAUGGACUAUGGAAUAAGGAGUGGUAAGAGCCUAAGCUUGGGGAUGCCCAAGGCACCCCAAGAUAAUAUUUCAAGAAGUCUCAAGCAUCUAAGCUUGGGGAUGCCCCAGUAGGCAUCCCACCUUUCUUCUUCAACAACUAUCGGUUAGUAUCGGUUGAGCCUAAGUUUUUGCUUCUUCACAUGAGUUGUGCUAUCCUUGCAUUAUAACACCACCGGAGGCAUUCAUAUAGAGUCAUAUCUUGUUCUAAGUUUCGAGUUGUAAUCCUUGUGUUAUAAUCAAUAGAAGUGUGAUGAUCAUCAUUAUUAGAGCAUUAUCCCAGUGAGGAAAGGAUGAUGGAGACUAUGAUUCCCCCAUAAGUCGGUAUGAGACUCCGGAGUUUGUGAAAAAUAAAAGAGGCCAAAGAAGCCCAAAUAAAAAAAGAGGCCAAAGAAGCCCACCAAUAAAAAAAAGAGAAAAAGAGAGAAGGGACAAUGCUACUAUCCUUUUUCCACACUUGUGCUUCAAAGUAGCACCAUGAUCUUCAUGAUAGAGAGUCUCAUAUGUUGUCACUUUCAUAUACUAGUGGGAAUUUUUCAUUAUAGAACUUGGCUUGUAUAUUCCGAUGAUGGGCUUCCUCAAAAGUGCCCUAGGUCUUCGUGAGCAAGCAAGUUGGAUGCACACCCACUUAGUUUCUUUUGUUGAGCUUUUAUAUACUUAUAGCUCUAGUGCAUCCGUUGCAUGGCAAUCCCUACUCACUCACAUCAAUAUCUAUCAAUGGGCAUCCCCAUAGCCCGUUGAUACACCUAGUUGAUGUGAGACUAUCUUCUCCUUUUUUGUCUUCUCCACAACCACCAUUCUAUUCCAUCUAUAGUUCUAUGUCCAUGGCUCACGCUCAUGUAUUGCGUGAAAGUUGAAAAAGUUUGAGAUUUCUAAAGUAUGAAACAAUUGCUUGGCUCAUCAUCGGGGUUGUGCAUGAUUAAAUACUUUGUGUGUUGAAGAUAGAGCAUAGCCAGACUAUAUGAUUUUGUAGGGAUAACUUUCUUUAACCAUGCUAUUUUGAGAAGACAUGAUUGCUUUGAUUAGUAUGCUUGAAGUAUUAUUACUUUUGUGUUAAUAUGAACUUUUGUCUUGAAUCUUUCGGAUCUGAAUAUUCAUACCACAAUUAAGAAGAUUUACAUUGAAAUUAUGCCAAAGUAUCACUCCACAUCAAAAAUUCUUUUUUAUCAUUUACCUACUCGAGGACGAGCAGGAAUUAAGCUUGGGGAUGCUUGAUACGUCUCCAACGUAUCUAUAAUUUUUGAUUGCUCCAUGCUACUUUAUCUACUGUUUUAGGCAAUAUUGGGCUUUAUUAUCCACUUUUAUAUUAUUUUUGGGACUAACCUAUUAACCGGAGGCCCAGCCCAGAUUUGCUAUUUUAUGCCUAUUUCAGUGUUUCGAGGAAAAGGAAUAUCAUACGGAGUCAAAACGGAACGAAAUCAACUGGAGAAGUUAUUUUCGGAAGGAAAGCCACCCGAUGGACUUGGAGUGCAUGUAAGGAGAUACGAGAGGUGCUCACGAGGGUGGGGGGCGCCCCCCUGGGCACGCCCCCUGCCUGUGGGACCCCCGUAGCUCCACCGACGUACUUCCUGCACCCAUAUAUACCUACAUACCCAAAAACUUCCAGAACAGAACCUAGAUCGGGAGUUUCGCCGCCGCAAGCCUCUGUAGCCACCAAAAACCAAUCGGGGCCCUGUUCCGGCACCCUGCCGGAGGGGGAUCCCAUCAUCGGAGGCCAUCUUCAUCAUCCCGGCGCUAUCCAUGACGAGGAGGGAGUAGUUCACCCUCGGGGCUGAGGGUAUGUACCAGUAGCUAUGUGUUUGAUCUCUCUCUAUCUCGUGUUCUCUCUCGUGUUCCCUCUAUGGCACGAUCUUAUUGAUGUAUCCCGAGCUUUGCUAUUGUAGUUGGAUCUAAUGAUGUUUCUCCCCCUCUACUCUCUUGUGAUGAAUUGAGUUUCCCCUUUGAAGUUAUCUUAUCGGAUUGAGUCUUUUAUGAGAACACUUGAUGUAUGUCUUGCGAUCCACUUGAUGUAUGUUUUGGUGAUCAACUUGCGGGUUUCGUGACAUUGGGAACCUAUGCAUAGGGGUUGGCACACGUUCUUGACUCUCCGGUAGUAGCUUUGGGGCACUCUUUGAAGUACUUUUAUGUUGGUUGGAUGAAUCUGAGAUUGUGUGAUGCAUAUCGUAUAAUCAUGCCCACGGAUACUUGAGGUGACAAUGGAGUAUCUAGGUGACAUUAGGGUUUUGGUUGAUUUGUGUCUUAAGGUGAUAAAGAGUUCGACGUAAAGAGUUACGUCGAUGCAAGCUUAACACCUAUCCGGAUAGCUCUGAUAGAGAUACCGGAUACGUAUAAUGGAGCAAAAAUUUGGAAUAGCUCCAAGUGGAACGUGGUAGCAGCAUCUACGAUAUGACAUAAAGUUUUGCGAAAUACAUAGGGAUCUAAAUGUUGCAGACUCGUUGACUACAACCUCUCUCACAAGCAUAACAUGAUCAAACCCAGAACUCAUUGAGUGUUAAUCACAUAGUGAUGUGAACUAGAUUGUUGACUCUAGUAAACUCUUUGGAUGUUAGUCACAUGGUGAUGUGACCUGUGAGUGUUAAUCACAUGGUGAUGUGAACUAGAUUAUUGACUCUAGUGCAAGUGGGAGACUGUUGGAAAUAUGCCCUAGAGGCAAUAAUAAGUUAGUUAUUAUUAUUAUAUUUCCUUAUUCAUGAUAAUCGUUUAUUAUCCAUGCUAGAAUUGUAUUGAUAGGAAACUCAGAUACAUGUGUGGAUACAUAGACAACACCAUGUCCCUAGUAAGCCUCUAGUUGACUAGCUCGUUGAUCAAUAGAUGCUUACGGUUUCCUGACCAUGGACAUUGGAUGUUGUUGAUAAUGGGAUCACAUCAUUAGGAGAAUGAUGUGAUGGACAAGACCCAAUCCUAAGCCUAGCACAAGAUCGUGUAGUUCGUAUGCUAAAGCUUUUCUAAAUGUCAAGUAUCUUUUCCUUAGACCAUGAGAUUGUGCAACUCCCGGAUACCGUAGGAAUGCUUUGGGUGUACCAAACGUCACAAUGUAACUGGGUGGCUAUAAAGAUGCACUACGGGUAUCUCCAAAAGUGUCUGUUGGGUUGGCACGAAUCGAGACUGGGAUUUGUCACUCCGUGUGACGGAGAGGUAUCUCUGGGCCCACUCGGUAGGACAUCAUCAUAAUGUGCAGAAUGUGAUCAAGUAGUUGAUCACGGGAUGAUGUGUUACGGAACGAGUAAAGAGACUUGCCGGUAACGAGAUUGAACAAGGUAUCGGGAUACCGACGAUCGAAUCUCGGGCAAGUAUCAUACCAGUAGACAAAGGGAAUUGUAUACGGGAUUGAUUGAGUCCUUGACAUCGUGGUUCAUCCGAUGAGAUCAUCGUGGAACAUGUGGGAGCCAACAUGGGUAUCCAGAUCCCGCUGUUGGUUAUUGACCAGAGAGAUAUCUCGGUCAUGUUUGCAUGAUUCCCGAGCCCGUAGGGUCUACACACUUAAGGUUCGAUGAUGCUAGGGUUAUAGGGAAGGUAUGUACACAGUUACGAAUGUUUUUCAGAGUCCCGGAUGAGAUCCCGGACGUCACGAGGAGUCCCGGAAUGGUCCGGAGGUGAAGAUUGAUAUAUUGGACGAAGGGUUUUGGAGUCCGGAAGUGUUCUGGAGGUACCGGGUGAUGACCAGCAUGACCGAAAGGUAUUUCGGGAGCCCCGACAAGUGUUGGGGGGGCUUCAUGGGCCAAGGGAAGGGGGAAAACCAGCCCACUAAGGGACUGUGCGCCCCCUCACCUAUUCCCACGUGACCAGGGGGUUUGGGGCGCCCCAUCUAGGGUUCCCACCUCCUGGCUUGGGGGCCAAGUCACCCAAAGGGGAGAUCCCAUCUGCCCUGGCCGCCGCCCCCCCAGGGGAAACCCUAGGGCGCCUCCCCCUCCCCCUUGCCCCUAUAUAUAGUGGAGGUUUUGGGGCUGCCCAACACAUGAGUCUCUCUCUCCCAAGGCGCAGCCCUACCUCUCUCCCUCCUCGUCUCUCGUAGUGCUUGGCGAAGCCCUGCUGGAGUACCGCGCUCCACCACCACCACCACGCCGUCGUGCUGCUGCUGGAUGGAGUCUUCCCCAACCUCUCCCUCUCUCCUUGCUGGAUCAAGGCACGGGAGACGUCAUCGGGCUGCACGUGUGUUGAACGCGGAGGCGCCAUUGUUCGGCGCUUAGAUCGGAAUCGACCGUGAUCUGAAUCACCACGAGUACGACUACUUCAUCCGCGUUCUUGCAACACUUCUGCUUAGCAAUCUACAAGGGUAUGUAGAUGCACUCCCCUUCCCCUCGUUGCUAGAUUACUCCAUAGAUUGAUCUUGGUGAUGCGUAGAAAACUUAAAAUUUCUGCUACGUUCCCCAACAGGCCCACCAUUGCUUCUCCAUAGCUCGUAGGUUCAUUGAUGUCUAGCAACAUGACCUCCAAGACAGGAUUACCGUACCACUCUGAAGCGGUACCUAUCCUUGUCGUCCUACGAGGUUUGGUAGUGACUUGAUCCGAAGUUUCAUGAUCACUAUCAUCAACUUCCACUUCAAUUGGUGUAGGUGCCACAGGAACAACUUCCUGUGCCCUGCUACACACUGGUUGAAGUGAUGGUUCAAUAACCUUAUCAAGUCUCCACCAUCCUCCCACUCAGAUCUUUCAAGAGAAACUAUUCCUCGAGAAAGGACCCGUUUCUAGAUACAAUCACUUUUGCUUCUGGGUCUGAAUUAGGAGGUAUACCCAACUGUUUUGGGUGUCCUAUGAAGAUGUAUUUAUCCGCUUUGGGUUCGAGCUUAUCAGGAUGAAACUUUUUCACAUAAGCAUCGCAACCCCAAACCUUCAAGAAACGACAGCUUAGGUUUCUCUAAACCAUAGUUCAUACGGUGUCAUCUCAACGGAAUUACGUGGUGCCCUAUUUAAAGUGAAUGCGGUUGUCUCUAAUGCCUAACCCAUGAACGAUAGUGGUAAUUCAAUAAGAGACAUCAUGGCAUGCACCAUAUCCAAUAGGGUGCAUCUAUGAUGUUAGGACACACCAUCACACUAUGGUGUUCCAGGCGGUAUUAGUUGUGAAACAAUUUCCACAAGGUCUUAAUUGUGUACCAAACUCGUAACUCAGAUAUUCAUCUCUUUGAUCAUAUCAUAGACAUUUUAUCCUCUUGUCACGAUGAUCUUCAACUUCACUCUGAAAUUACUUGAACCUUUCAAUAAUUCAGACUUGUGUUUCAUCAAGUAAAUAUACUUAGCAUCUACUCAAGUCAUCUGUGAAGUAAGAACAUAACAAUAUUCACUGCGUGCCUCAGCACUCAUUGGACAGCACACAUCAAAAUGUAUUACUUCCAACAAGUUGCUCUCUUGUUCCAUCUUUCUGAAAAUGAGGCUUUUCAGUCAUCUUGCCCAUGUGGUAUGAUUUGCGUGUCUCAAGUGAUUUAGAAUCAAGUGAGUCCAAAUGAUCCAUCUGCAUAGAGUUUCUUCAUGCGCACAUACCAAUAGACAAGGUUCGCAUGUCUCAAACAUUUCAAAAACGAGUGAGUCCAAAGAUCCAUCAACAUGGAGCUUCUUCAUGCAUUUUAUACCAACAUGACUCAAAUGGCAGUGCCACAAGCAGGUGGUACUAUCAUUACUAUCUUAUAUCUUUUGCCAUGAACAUGUGUAUCACUACGAUCGAGAUUCAAUAAACCAUUCUUUUAGGUGCAAGACCAUUGAAGGUAUUAUUCAAAUAAAUAGAGUAACCAUUAUUCUCCUUAAAUAAAUAACCAUAUUGUGAUAGACAUAAUCCAAUCAUGUCUAUGCUCAACGCAAACACCAAAUAACAAUUAUUUAGGUUUAACACCAAUCUCGAUGGUAGAGGGGCAGGCGAUGCUUGAUCACAUCAACCUUGGAAACACUUCCAACACACAUCAUCAUCUCACCUUUAGCUAGUCUCCGUUUAUUCCGUAGCUCUUUUAUUUCGAGUUACUAACACUUAGCAACCGAACCGGUAUCUUAAUACGCUGGUGCUACUAGGAGUACUAGUAAAGUACACAUUUAAUACAAUGUAUAUCCAAUAUACUUCUGUCAACCUUGCCAGCCUUCUCAUCUACCAAGUAUCUAGGGUAGUUCUGCUUCAGUGACCGUUCCCUCAUUACAGAAGCACUUAGUCUCGGGUUUGGGUUCAACCCUGGGUUUCUUCACUGGAGCAGCAACUGAUUUGUCGUUUCAUGAAGUACCCCUUCUUGCCCUUGCCCUUCUUGAAACUAGUGGUUUCACUAACCAUCAACAAUUGAUGCUCCUUCUUGAUUUAUACUUUUGCGGUGUCAAACAUCAUGAAUAUUUCAAGGAUCAUCAUAUCUAUCCCUGAUAUGUUAUAGUUCGUCAUGAAGCUCUAGUAGCUUGGUGGCAAUGUCUUUGGAGAAACAUCACUAUCUCAUUUGGAAGAUUAACUCCCACUCAAUUCAAGUGAUUGUUGUACCCAGACAAUCUGAGUACAAGCUCAAUGAUUGAGCUUUUCUCCCUUAGUUUGUAGGCUAAGAAGCUUGUCGGAGGUCUUAUACCUCUUGACGUGGGCACGAGCGUGAAAUCCCAAUUUCAGCCCUUGGAAUAUCUCAUAUGUUCCGCGACAUUUCUAAAAUGUCUUUAGCGCCUCAAUUCUAAACCAUUUAACAUUACUGAACUAUCACGUAGUCAUCAAAACGUGUAUGUCAGAUGUUCGCAACAUCCACAGACGAUGUUCGAGGUUCAGCACACCGAGCGGUGCAUUAAGGACAUAAGCCUUCUACGCAGCAAUGAGGACAAUCCUCAGUUUACGGACCCAGUCCGCAUAAUUGCUACUAUCAACUUUCAACUAAAUUUUCUCUAGCAACAUAUCUAAAAUAGUAUAACUAAAACGCGAGCUACGACAUAAUUUGCAAAGACCUUUUGACUAUGUUCAGGAUAAUUAAGUUCAUCUAAUGAACUCCCACUCAGAUAGACAUUCCUCUAGUCAUCUAAGUGAUACAUGAUCCGAGUCAAUGCUACCUCUUGAGCACUGCGUUGGAUUUCCCCGAAGAGGAGAGGAUGAUGCAGUAAAGUAGCGUAAGUAUUUCCCUCAGUUUUUGAGAAUCAAGGUAUCAAUCCAGUAGGAGAUCACACACAAGUCCCUCGUACCUACACAAAACGAUAGCAACUCGCAACCAACGCUUAGGGGUUGUCAAUCCCUUCACGGUCACUUACGAGAGUGAGAUCUGAUAGAGAUAAUAUUUUUGGUAUUUUUGAUAGAUAGAUGCAAAGUAAAAAGUAAAAGGCAAAGUAAAACAAAGCAAGUAAAUAAAUUAAUGGAGAUUGAUAUGAUGAGAAUAGACCUGGGGGCCAUAGGUUUCACUAGUGGCUUCUCUCAAGAGCAUAGGUAUUCUAUGGUGGGUGAACAAAUUACUGUUGAGCAAUUGAUAGAAAAGCAAAUAAUUAUGAGAUUAUCUAGGUAUGAUCAUGUAUAUAGGCAUCACGUCCAAAACAAGUAGAUCGAAACGAUUCUGCAUCUACUACUAUUACUCCACUCAUCGACCGCUAUCCAGCAUGCAUCUAGAGUAUUAAGUAAAAACAGACUAACGCCAUAAGCAAGAUGACAUGAUGUAGAGGGAUAAAUUCAUGCAAUAUGAUAAAAACCCCAUCUUGUUAUCCUCAAUGGCAACAAUACAAUACGUGCCUUGCAACUCUUUCUGUCACUGAGUAAGGACACCGCAAGAUUGAACCCAAAGCUAAACACUUCUCCCAUUGCAAGAACUACCAAUCUAGUUGGCCAAACCACAAAGAUAAUUCGAAGAGACUUGCAAAGAUAACUCAAUCAUACAUAAAAGAAUUCAGAGAAGAAUCAAAUAUUGUUCAUAGAUAAGCUGGAUCAUAAACCCACAAUUCAUCGGUCUCAACAAACACACCGCAAAAAGAAGAUUACAUCGAAUAGAUCUCCACAAGAGAGGGGGAGAACAUUGUAUUGAGAUCCAAAAAGAGAGAAGAAGUCAUCUAGCUAAUAACUAUGGACCCGAAGGUCUGAAGUAAACUACUCACACUUCAUCGGAGAGGCUAUGGUGUUGAUGUAGAAGCCCUCCGUGGUAGUUGUCCUCUCCGGUCGAGCUCCGGAACAGGCCCCAAGAUGGGAUCUCGCGGAUACAGAAGGUUGCGGCGGUGGAAUUAGGUUUUUGGCUCCGUAUCUGAUCUAACGGGGGUACAUAGGUAUAUAUAGGAGGAAGGAGUACGUCGGUGAAGCUCUGAGGGGCCCACGANNNNNNNNNNNNNNNNNNNNNNNNNNNNNNNNNNNNNNNNNNNNNNNNNNNNNNNNNNNNNNNNNNNNNNNNNNNNNNNNNNNNNNNNNNNNNNNNNNNNNNNNNNNNNNNNNNNNNNNNNNNNNNNNNNNNNNNNNNNNNNNNNNNNNNNNNNNNNNNNNNNNNNNCUUGGAGUAGGGUCCAAGUCCCCUGGAUCACGUUCGGUUGGAAAAUCACGUUCACGAAGGUUUUAUUCCGUUUGGACUCUGUUUGAUAUUUUGUUUCUUCAAAACACUGAAAUAGGCAAAAAAACAACAAUUCUGGGCUGGGCCUCCGGUUAAUAGGUUAGUCCCAAAAAUAAUAUAAAAGUGGAAAACAAAGCCCAAUAUAGUCCAAAACAAUAGACAAAGUAGCAUGGAGUAAUCAAAAAUUAUAGAUACGUUGGAGACGUAUCAGUCAACUAGGCCGUGUCCGAUCAUCACGUGAGACGGACUAGUCAUCAUCGGUGAACAUCUUCAUGUUGAUCGUAUCUACUAUACGACUCAUGCUUGACCUUUCGGUCUCUUGUGUUUCGAGGCCAUGUCUGUACAUGCUAGGCUCGUCAAGUCAACCUAAGUGUUUCGCGUGUGUAAAUCUGGCUUACACCCGUGGUAUGUGAGCGUUAGAAUCUAUCACACCCGAUCAUCACGUGGUGCUUCGAAACAAUGAACUUUCGCAAUGGUGCACGGUUAGGGGGAACACUUUGUUGAAAUUUUAAUGAGGGAUCAUCUUAUUUACUACCGUCGUUCUAAGCAAAUAAGAUGUAUAAACAUGAUAAACAUCACAUGCAAUCAAAUAGUGACAUGAUAUGGCCAAUAUCAUUUUGCUCCUUUUGAUCUCCAUCUUCGGGGCUCCAUGAUCAUCAUCGUCACCGGCAUGACACCAUGAUCUCCAUCAUCAUGAUCUCCAUCAUCGUGUCUCCAUGAAGUUGUCUUACCAACUUAUUACUUCUACUACUAUGGCUAACAAUUUAGCAAUGAAGUAAAGUAAUUACAUGGCGUUAUUCAGUGACACGCAGGUCAUACAAUAAAUAAAGACAACUCCUAUGGCUCCUGCCGGUUGUCAUACUCAUCAACAUGCAAGUCGUGAUUCCUAUUACAAGAAUAUGAACAAUCUCAUACAUCACAUAUAUUUCAUUCAUCACAUCCUUCUUGGCCAUAUCACAUCAUACGGCAUAUGCUGCAAAAACAAGUUAGACGUCCUCUAAUUGGUGUUGCAAGUUUUUACGUGGCUGCUAUAGGUUUCUAGCAAGACCGCUUCUUACCUACGCCAAAACCACAACGUGAUAUGCCAAUUUCUAUUUACCCUUCAUAAGGACCCUUUUCAUCGAAUCCGAUCCAACUAAAGUGAGAGAGACAGACACCCGCUAGCCACCUUAUGCAACAAGUGCAUGUCAGUCGGUGGAACCUGUCUCACGUAAGUGUACGUGUAAGGUCGGUCCGGGACGCUUCAUCCCACAAUACCAUCGAAACAAGAUAGGACUAGUAAUGAUAAGCAUAUUGAACAAAAUCAACGCCCACAACAACUUGUGUUCUACUCGUGCAUAGAAUCUACGCAAUAGACCUAGCUCAUGAUGCCACUGUUGGGGAACGUAGCAGAAAUUCAAAAUUUUCUACGCAUCACCAAGAUCAAUCUAUGGAGAUUCUAGCAACAAGAGAGAGAGGGAGUGCAUCUUCAUACCCUUGAAGAUCGCUAAGCGGAAGCGUUACAAGAACGCGGUUGAUGGAGUCGUACUCGCGGCGAUUCAAAUCGCGGAAGAUCCGAUCUAGCGUCGAACGGACGGCGCCUCCGUGUUCAACACACGUACAGCCCGGGGACGUCUCCUCCUUCUUGAUCCAGCAAGGGGAGAGGAGAAGUUGAGGGAAAACUCUGACAGCACGACGACAUGGUGGUGAUGGAGCUCGUGGUUCUCCAGCAGGGCUUCGCCAAGCACUAUGGAGGAGGAGGAGGUGUUGGAGGAGGGAGAGGGCUGCGCCAGGGGAAGGGUACGGCUGCCCUCUCUCUCCCUCACUAUACAUAGGGGGAAGGGAGGAGGGGGAGGCGCCCUAGGGUUCUCUAGGGGAGGGGCGGCGGCCACAGGGGAAACCCUAGAUGGGUUUGGGCGCCCCCACCCCCUAGGAAACUUGCCCCCCAAGCCGGGAGGGGCGGCUACCCUAGGGGUGGCGCCCUCACCUCCCCUGGUUACGUGAGAUGGGGUGGGAGGGGCGCUCAGCCCCUUAGUGGGCUGAUGUGCCCCCUCCCCUUGGCCCAUAAGGCCCCCCAACGCUUGUCGGGGCCUCCGAAACCUCUUUCGGACACGCUGGUCAUCACCUGGUACCCCCGGAACAAUUCCGGACUCCAAUACCCUUUGUCCAAUAUACCGAUCUUCACCUCCGGACCAUUCUGGAGCUCCUCGUCACGUCCGGGAUCUCAUCCGGGACUCCGAACAACCUUCGGUAACCACAUACUAUUUUCCAUAACAACUCUAGCGUCACCGAACCUUAAGUGUGUAGACCCUACGGGUUCGGGAACCAUGCAGACAUGACCGAGACGUUCUCCGGUCAAUAACCAACAGCGGGAUCUGGAUACCCAUGUUGGCUCCCACAUGUUCCACGAUGAUCUCAUCGGAUGGACUACGAUGUCAAGGAUUCAAGCAAUCCCGUAUGCAAUUUCCUUUGUCAAUCGGUAUGUUACUUGCCCGAGAUUCGGUCGUCGGUAUCCCAAUACCUCGUUCAAUCUUGUUACCGGCAAGUCACUUUGCUCGUUCCAUAAUGCAUGAUCCCGUGACUAACUACUUAGUCACAUUGAGCUCAUUAUGAUGAUGCAUUACUGAGUGGGCCCAGAGAUACCUCUCCGUCAUACGGAGUGACAAACCCCAGUCUCGAUUCGUGCCAACCCAACAGACAUUUUCGGAGAUACCCGUAGUGCACCUUUAUAGCCACCCAGUCACGUUGUGACGUUUGGCACACCCAAAGCAUUCCUACGGUAUCCGGGAGUUGCACAAUAUCAUGGUCUAAGGAAAUGAUACUUGACAUUAGAAAAGUUUUAGCAAACGGACUACACGAUCUUGUGCUAUGCUUAGGAUUGGGUCUUGUCCAUCACAUCAUUCUCAUACCAUCUAUUGAUCAAUGAGCUAGUCAACUAGAGGCUCACUAGGGACAUGUUGUGGUCUAUGUAUUCACACAUGUAUUACGAUUUCCAGUUAAUACAAUUAUAGCAUGAACAAUAGACAAUUAUCAUGAACAAGGAAAUGCAAUAAUAACAAUUUUAUUAUUGCCUCUAGGGCAUAUUUUCAACAAUUGUAAUGUGCUGGACGAACGCAUGCAACAUCGGAAAAAACCCACCAGAUCACGCUCGACGUUCAAUCGGCUGAGGGGUACCAUGUUCCCAUCUUUAAGGACAUUUUCCAUUUUUGAGGCAAUUUAACUAUUUUUUUAGCCAAAUCUACUUUUUUUAGACAAGUUAACUUUUUCGAGAAAAAUCUCGCGGAGCUUUAUUAAUUCAUCACAACGUUUACAAGGAUGAAAGAAAAUUUACCGGGCUAACCUAACCAAACAUGGCGGCCAACCCCUAAAGUUAAUGCAUGCUUCGCUGGACUGUGAGCUUCAUAGUUUGAGCUCCUAAAUUCAUGGACUAUAUUACGUGAAAUAACAGCAACAUCACUUUCUUUGAUUUCCCGAGUGAUUGCACCAUAUUGUGCACACCUUUCACUCUUGACUUCGUCCACCACAAUAUUGCAAUAGGAGGUUACAUGUAUGCGUUGACUGUAAAGAUCCUCUGAAAGAGCCAACGCCUCUCUCACCGCCAUAGCUUCAAGUGUAGUUGGGUCUGAAAUAGUAGGGAAGACAAUUGUCGAGCCUCGUUGGAACACCCCAUUUUGAUGUCUGCUGAUUACCGCCACUGCCCCAUGAGUUCCACUCUGUCCCACUGUGGCAUCAACGUUCACUUUCAAAAAGCUUACUGGAGAGGAUAACCACCUGUUAUUAGCUGGUGCAACCCAAGUAGAAGCAGUUCGGGUAGGUUUUGCCAACCUUUGAAUUUCCUUCAGGUAAGAUGUGAUGAAACCAUUGAUAGCAUGGGGGCUUUGAAAUAUACCUUUUUGUAGAGCUUUCCUUUGAGCCCCCCAGAUCGUCCAUAAUGUGACCUCAAGCCGAACAAAAUGUUUAGUCUGAAGAGUGUCAUGCAUGGUGAAGAUCCAAUGCCUUGCAUUCUUCUCCUGGUUCACACUCAACUAUUCGACCACUUGAUCCAAAGAUAGGGCCCAGGUACAACGGGACGUGGGGCAGCUUAAAAAAGCAUGCCGCCAGGUAUCAUGCACCCCGCACAGAGCACAUGCUCCUGUGGUACCCAUGUCGAUGAAGCACUUCAUUAGAUGGAAUUGAUUGCCGCCCUAGUCGCCAAAUGAACACUUGAAGUUUCAAUGGAACCUGAACAUUCCAAAUCGAAUUCCACUCACUGCUUUCGAAAGUAGUGUGAGAUAAGCCUUCCUUUCUUCAAGCCAUCCUUCUCUGUUAACUUUUGUUCUCACAAUCAUGCGGUAGGCCGAGCGGACUGUAAACAUGCCUCGCUGUUCUUUGUUCCACGCCUAAAAGUCUGAGAUUUUACUAGUGCAUAGCGAAAUUUUGAGUAUAGCUUCUGUGUUUUUUUUCAAGAAUACACAAUUGCGUACCAUAGUUUUAUAGAAGGCGAAAUUUUAAGUACAAGAUGGCUACAAAUUGCUAUGAAUAACUGCAAAUAACGGGUAUAGCUUCUGUGCUAAAAGGGGUGAAAACCGAGCGAACAAGUUCCUCUCUCCAUGACGUCGUAGCACUCUGGAUGAGCUCCGCCAUCCAAGUGGGAGGGUUUUGGACAGUGGAUGCAAUUGGACGUUUGUAGCAUUUUCUUUUGAGAAGAAUGACGUUUGUAUCUGUCCCUCGGUAUCCAAAUUUUGUGCCAUGGACCUGCGCCGCCUGGGCUCAUAUCGCCCACAGUGAGUUCGCAAUUGCACCAGAUGACCAGAAACCCACCCAGGUCCAGCACGCGAAACCCUCGCACCCAUUCGCACUGCCGCCUCCGCGGCCGCGCGCUCAACACUCGCCAGGCACCUCGCCGUUUCCGCGUUUCCUUCCUCAACGGCGACCCCGAUGCCAAAAUCGGCAACCCGGAGCGCGCGCCGUCGUAUAUAAGGAUGCCUCGUCUCCCUAGCCCUAGCCUGCGCCUCCUCUGACCCUCACCCGCCGCCGGCCCCCGAAACCCUAACCCACUCCGGCGAGUAGACCCGGCACGUUCUGCUCUCUCCACCACCAGCCGCCAGAGAUGGCCGCCCGCAAUUCAUCUGCGCCCGCCGCACACCCGCUCCACCAGGAUUCCGUCGCCGCCCCCAACUCGCCCCUGCUCGCCGCCGACCCGCUCCACCAGGCUGCCGUGGCCAACCCCAACUCUCCCGUGCUCGCCGCCAACCCGGUCCACCAGGCCAGCGCGGCGGCGUCGUCGGGGAUGUACGGCGCUCCUGGGGCCCUCCCAACCGAGCAAGGGUCUUUGACGGUGCUGCCGCCGCCACAAGGCGCGCCUGUGAUGAAGACGGUCCAGGGCGUGAACAUGAUGGCUCCGACGCCCCUGCAAUGACCCCCGGUGAUGCAAGGGGCAAACACGGUGGUGCCGAUGCCCCUGUGGGAGCUGGUCAUGACCGUGCCCCUACAAGGCAGACCUGUGAUGGCACCUCUGCCUUUCCCCGCAGUCCUCCAUCCAUGAUGGCACCUCCGUCCUUUUAUGAUGUCGCUUCACCAAUGACGGUGCAGCAGCCUCCACAUGCCGGAUACAUGAUGGGCCAGCCGCUGUUGCGUGCCAGCCCUCCACCGAUGGCGGCGCUGCAUCUCCCACAGGCCGUGCACAUGGUGGCACAGCCGCCUUUGCCAGCUGGCCCCCCUCCUCUGAGGCGUCGCCGUCCUGACUACUUUGGUUUGUGCUUACUGCUCAAUUCUCUGCCUCUGUUAGAUUAAUUCUUUGUUUUGUUCCUGCAGAUUCAUAUAAAAGUUUAGCAAAGAGAAAUGAAACCUUAUCAGAUUUGUUGAUGCUUAUGGUUGUAGUUUAUAGAGUAGAUUUUGUUGAUGCUUAUGGUUGUAGUUUAUAGAGUAGAUUUUGUUGACGCUUAAGGUUGUAGUUUAUACAAUAGUUUAUUAUUAUUAUUAGUAUGUUUGUAGCUUAUACAAUUGUCUGUUUGUUGGCCAUAUGCACGGUUAGGCUUUUGAUUAUGUCUAUGUAAAAAGCAUAUGGCUAUAGACAUAUCUUUGAUUUUUUCCUGGGAAGCUUAAUAGUCAACGCUGCGGUUGUUUCUCUUAUGGUUCAACAUGGAUAUUCGAGAUGUUGUUGAUUGUUAGAUUGUACCUUUUUUUAAGCAUCACUGCAUCAGGUUUGUAGACUGAAGGUUUGGAUUUGUUAGUGAGAAUUUAGAACAUAAGUAUGGCAGAUUAUUGUCUCAUUAGCCUAAGUUUUUCUGUCAAAUCUUCGAAGAAAAAUCCUAGGAUAGUUAUAGGAUACAGUUCUGGGAUUUUUCUCUCUAUGGUGUUGGUAGCAUUUUGACAUGUGGAUUAAGUGUUGCCCAGCUUUUGCUAUGUUAAAAACAUUGGCGCAAAACUGACAGCACAUAUUUCUACUAUUGUUCUAAAGAGCUUUGAAAUGGACAUCAUAUGACCAAAUAUAUUAUAAAUCUUUAAAAACUUGAAUUGGUCAAUAGUGCUUAUGUCAAUCUGGUCGAUCUAGCUUAGGGUUUGCAUGCUGCUGCGUCGUAGCACGGUUGCACCCUUACUUUUGACGCAGCAAUUGAUAGUUUAAUAAAGCUAGUUCCUCUUUCCUAUUACUAUCCUUCCAAUAUUUUAUUGAGUAUGACUAAUUGCCAUUUGGGCAUUAGUUGUAUAUUUGUUGUCAUCGCUGAUCUGCAUGAUAGGUUAAAUAAAUCACCAUCUCUUCAGUUGGCAGCUUAGAUUUUUCUCAUCUCAAAAAGUCCCCUACAUUUAUCAAUGCGUGUGAAUAUCUUUAAUGCUUGUUAUGAAAAAUCAGUGUGCAUAUGUCCAUUUCAACCUCAUAGAUGAUAUGCUCGUCAUUUUUAACUUGUUUAAACCCUUUUCCCAUUGGUAACGCCGUAACAGUGAGAUUGCCUUUUCCCCCCUCUCCAUAUGUCCCUUUCUUGAUAUGUGAUAUAGUACGAUCCACAUUUCAGUUAAUGCUGUCCUGUUAAUGCGUGUUAUGAAAAUUCAGCAUGCAUAUGUCCAUUUUAACCUCAUAGAUGACAAAUGAGGUCAUCAUUAGCAAACGAUACUGAAACAUUGACAUGCUCGUCAUUUUUUAAACUUAUUUAAACCCUUUUCACAUUGGUAACGCCGUAACAGCGAGAUUGCCUUUUCCCCCUCUCCAGAUGUCCAUUUCUUGAUAUAUGUGAUAUAGUUAGAUCCACACUUUAGUUAAUGCUGUCCUGUAUAUUUUUAUCGGGCUUGCUUUUUAAAUGGUAGGUAUAAUUAAUAAUUUCAAGCAAUCAUGAGUUAGAGAACUGAGCGCUCGCCCAAUGGUAGGAGUUCAGGUUGUUGAACCUACACAUCUGUGUUUGAAUCCCCACGGGGACUCACUUGGGUGCUAUCCAUGUUUAUUCGUGGAGCGGUCCCACUUCUGCCUAUUCGCUUGGGUGCUAUCCGCGUUUAUUGGUGGAGUGGUCUCACUUCUACCUAAAACAGUGGGCAGUUAAGGGAGGGAUCCGUCCCCAUUUAGCCCUGUUUGUUAGCAAUCACGAGUGGUCUCACUUCUACCUAACAGUGCGCAGUUAAGGGAGGGAUCCGUCCCCAUUUAGCCCUGUUUGUUAGCAAUCACGAGUCACGUGCCGCUCAAUGUCUUUUAGAAGUUCAUUCAUUCCCAGUAACAUAUACAUGCAUAUAAUUUAGUUAUUACACCCUUCUAUAGACAUGCCUUUUGGACCGCGGAUGACUGGUUUUGAGCUGGAAAUGGCUGGAUUUGAUGAAUCAAUGGGACUGCCUUAUGGGCCUUACAUAAACAAUGAGGUAACACAAUAAUUCCUUGUUCCUCAUUAAGACUAGCAGCUUCAUCAGUAAAUCUGAAGUACUUGAUGAUUUUAUUUGACCUGGGGCAUCUUUACAGAUGCCUUCUGUUGGUUCGUAUCAAACACCCUACAUGUUGAAGGUUUCCCACCCAACUGUACUAGACGGGAGCUUGCACGUAUCCUUUGCUAUUAUUAUUUUGAGUUUAUUUGUCAUUUUAUUAAUAAGGGGACUAUGUUGUAUGUUUAUGUUCUUACAAAUCUUAUGUCUCAGUCUUUUCUUUUGUGUUUUAUCUUGCACCAUUUAGUGCUUCAGCUCCUUGACUCUUGCUUCUCUAGAUAUAUUUCGCCCUUUUACUGGGUUCUGUGCAGUAAGGCUGGUCAACACAGGAUAUAAUAAUCGACAUGUAAUAGCUUAUGCUGACUUUGAAACUCUUGCCCAAGCCUUCUCUGCCAUGAAGUCUCUGCAAGGUGAAUAUAACAUCAUUGUCAGCUGAAAUUGUGUCCCUUACAUUCUACUCCCUCUGUUCCUAAAUAUUUGUCUUUCUAGAGAUUUCAACAAGUGACUACAUACAGAGCAAAAUGAAUGAAUCUACGCUCUAAAAUAUGUCUAUACAUCCUUAUGUGGUAGUCCAUUUGAAAUCUCUAAAAAGACAAUAUUUAGGAACGGAGGGAGUAGUAUUCUAUACCUGAUACUUACGUUACCAAUUCUUUUGAGCUUUGGUCUGCACAUCCUUUGUAUCAAUAUCGUUGUGUUCCCAAGUUGUGACUCUUACAUAAGUACUUACGGCAGUUGUCAACCCUUGUUGAUUGUUUCAUUGUUUGUUUGCAUAACUUUCCUGUUCUUACUGAGCUAGAGUUUACAUGGUAGUAUCUGCAUGCAGACUAGAGAAUACAUCCCUUUGCUCUAUUCUUUUCUGCUCUAUUUCACUUCCAGUAGGUUGCGUGUUAACUAUUGUUUAUAUAUCACAUCUCUUGCAAAUAUAAGUGUAGCAUUUAUUCAUUUCAUAUCCAGCAUCUGCCGGAUAACUUUUACCUGAAUAUUGAGACAAGUGCCUCUAAUUGCUACUACUAUUUUUCCUUUUUUUUUAGUAUUUUAGUGCAUCAACUUUGUUCCCUAGAUGAUUGAUUUGAGACUUUCUACAGUUAGCAUAAUCCCUUAUGUUGUUUGUCUCACUAUCCCAAAAUAUGUCAGUGUUAUAGCAUGAAAUUGACAAUUGUCUGGUUGUGGGCUUGAAAUAAACAAUGACGCUUCUUUUUGCAGGUUAUUUGUUUGACAUGCAUGACCUAUACUCAGUCAAAUUGGACCUCCAGUUCCUUCCUGUUCCGUCCAAGGUAAACUGAUGGCUCGUGCUAGGCGUUAAAUCUUGUGGAUCUCAGUUUCUUAUAUAUCAAUCUGAAACCAUCAAUUUGCAAAUUCUUCCUUGCUUAUGUUACCUCAUGGGUGUGAAUGGACGACUUGAUUAAUUGUUUCUCAGGCUUUACCUGAUACACUAUGAUGAGCCUAUAUUAGAACUGGAAUUGGUUUUUUAAAGUUAAAUGUUGUAUGAGAUUCUAUAGUUUGUCAUUUUGUACCGUAACUUAUCAUGUAUGUGGGUGGCCCAUACAUACAGUUAUGAGCAAUUGAAGGUUUCAUAUCACCAAUGUUUUACAAAAGUAAAAGGUUUCUAUUUGGUGGGCAUAUUACGUCAAUAUACUUUUAUUGUGGAUUACACAAGGGCCAUGACAUGGCAUGUGCCUGGUGCUCUUUAAGCUGCUUAUCUUGAAGAUAAGCAAAGUUCUGUUCGGUCCAAUGAUGUUUUCUUUUGUUGGGUUACUCAGGCAAGAUCGAUUGUGUUCGGUUCAUAAUCACUUAGUCACCUAGCCCACCUGUCAUGCUCUUUUGGCUAAAUUGCCACAAUUGUGUCCAUCACACUUCGGCCAUGACUCUCGGUCCAUGUUCCUUUGUAUGUGGGCGCCGCGCGGGGUUGCGGUGGUAGGAUUCCUUGCGGUUUCGGGCGUGGCUCGCGUUGGCAGGGGAGGGAUGCGCUGAACUGCCCUCCGGGCAUCCUGAUUUCCGGUGGAUGCUUGGAAAUUAUGAAGAUCUUUUUGGUUGUGUUGUGCCGUACCGUGUCCUCAUCGGCGGUGGGUGCAUGUACCCGCCGCCCAUGGAGAUAGAGUAGGGGAUCUCUCUGUCCAACCACGCCACCGGCGAGAAGGGAGGAAAUGGCGAGGAGUCAUUUUUUUUAGAAUGGGGCAUGGGAGGAUUCGAGCGGACGAGGAAGAUGGUGAGAUAAUGAGCCUUAAUGGUGAUGGUGUUUGAGGUUAGCAGUGGGCCUCUUAAUUGUGUUAGAUGUACAUUAUGGAGGCCUAGUCGGGAAAGCCCAUUGAGAGCCACUGCUGUCUGACGGGUGGGCGCACACAGAGGGCCCCUCUAGGAGACGGAGAGGGAGAUGGCGGUGGCGGCAUGUGCAGCGUGGCAUCGUAUUCGCGGUCAGCAAUGGCGAGAGCGCGCCGCGUAGGAGGAUGGUUGGGAGGCGGAGCGACAUGCAGCGUCGUGGCGCAUGGCCGCACCCGCACCACGGGUGAAGCAGCAGCCGCUAGGGAGCUGAGGCAAGCCGCAAUCGUCCCUUAGUUUCUGUAUACUUCUGCUGUCAGCUGUCACCGUAAUUGUCAAUAGAAAUUGCCAAUUUUGGUUGCUAAUCCCGCAGGUUAGCACAGUAGGCCAAAAACGUUGUAUCAGGCGCUUUGGCUCUUCUUCUAAGAAAAUGAUGCAUCUUUCCAUGUUUAUUCUAGAAAGAACAAAAGUAGGAGAUGCUAGCUUUGUAAAAUUAUUCUCAGAUGGUGCGACACUGCGACUGCUCCGUAAAAAUGUGCAACUCAAGCAGAAAUGUUGGGUGUGCGUUAGUUUAGAGCGAAUUGUUUGGCCAUGACCCUAAAAACAGGAACCUAUUUGACCAUCAAUUUGACCUUGCAAUGUUUUUCAAAUUUAUCCAUGAAUUUGAAUUUGAUUGGAUUGGAUUGCAUGACAUAGUAGUUAAAUGGAUGUUUGGUUUGUCUAGACAAAGACCGGUAUGUUUGAUUCAAGUCAUUGCUAUAUCAUCCUUACAUUUCGCUUGUCAGUUUACCAUUGUGAUUAUAUUAGUGUAUUUUCCUUGGCAUUUAUGGCAAUGUCCCUCAAUGUAUCCAUGAAAUGCCUAUUUUAUUUGCGUGCACUGUAAUAUGUUUUUGGGAGUCUUUCUGCUCAGCUACGUUUAAGAUACUGUUCCUCUAUGCAUAGGAUACGAUGCUUAUAAUAUAUAGCUGUUUAGCUGCUAACUCAUCACACUGGUGUGUGGUUUUGCAGAUUCACACGGCAAUCAUUUUGUACAACUACUCUGGUCAUGAGUAAUGUUAAUGUAACAUAUAAUGGAUCUUUCCAUUUUAUGGCUUCUCCUUACGUUUUCAACCCCAGUCUCUCGAAUCCUUGGUGCUUAAUAGAAAAAUCACGGUGCUAGUCAAUGUAGGUUAUGAGGAAUGGCCUGACAUGAAUGAGCCUACCCAGUCUUAUCUUGUGUAACUUAACAGUUGAAGUAGUAAUAAUUGCAGCAGGUUUUUGAUGUUCACCUAUUGUUGCCAUGCAUAAAAGAUUUAAAAAAACAAGAUAAAUAUUGGUAGGAUGUUGGUGCUCAAAUUUGACCAUGUGAUAUUGUGAUGCGAUUCUAACUUCUGCCUGGUCUGACUCCUGUGUGUACGGUGAGGAGCGCAGAUCUGCUGCCUUUUGUAGUUCUGUAUGCUAAUGGGAAACCAUCCGAUGAAGGCCCUUGUGUUUCGCUGAGGUAUGUGCAUUAAUCUUGACAUCGUUGUCAGCCGAAACUGUGUCCCUUACAUUCUACUCCCUCCGUUCCUAAAUAUUUGUCUUUCUAGAGAUUUCAAGAAGUGACUACAUACAGAGCAAAAUGAGUGAGUCCACGCUCUAAAAUAUGUAUAUAUACAUCUGUAUGUAGUAGUCCGUUUGAAAACUCUAAAAAGACAAAUAUUUAGGAACGGAGGGGGUAAUAUUCUAUACCUGAUACUUACGUUACCAAUUCUAUACCUGAUACUUACAUUACCAAUUCUUUUGAGCUUUGGUCUGCACAUCCUUUGUAUCAAUAUCGUUGUGUUCCCAAGUUGUGACUCUUACACAAGUACUUACGGCAGUUUUCAACCCUUGUUGACUGUUUCAUUGUUUGUUUGCAUAACUUUCCUGUUCUUACUGAGCUAGAGAUUACAUGCUAGAAUCUGCAUGCAGAAUAGAGAAUACAUCCCUUUGCUCUAUUCUUUUCUGCUAUGUUUCACUUCCAGUAGGUUGUGUGUUAACUAUUGUUUAUAUAUCACACAUCUUGCAAAUAUAAGUGUAGCAUUUAUUCAUUUCAUAUCCAGCAUCUGCCAGGUAACUUUUACCUGAAUAUUGACAUAAGUGCCUCGUAUUGCUACUACUAUUUUUCCUUUUUUUUAGUAUUUUAGUGCAUCAACUUUGUUCCCUAGAUGAUUGAUUUGAGACUUUCUACAGUUAGCAUAAUCCCUUAUUUUGUUUGUCUCACUAUCCUAAAAUAUGUCAGUGUUAUAGCACGAAAUUAACACUUGUUUGGUUGUGGGCUUGAAAUAAACAAUGGCGCUUCUUUUUGCAGGUUAUUUGUUUGACAUGCAUGACCGAUACCCAGUCAAAUUGGACCUCCAGUUCCUUCCUGGUCCGUCCAAGGUAAACCGAUGGCUCGUGCUAGGCGAUUAAUCUUGUGGGUCUCAGUUUCUUAUAUAUCAAUCUGAAACCAUCAAUUUGCAAAUUCUUCCUUGCUUAUGUUACCCCAUGGGUGAGUAUGGACAACUUGAUUAAUUGUCUCCCAGGCUUUACCUGAUACACUUUGAUGAGCUUACAUUAGAACUGGAAUUGAUUUUUUAAAGUUAAAUGUUGUAUGAGAUGCUCUAGUUUGUCAUUUUGUACCGUAACUUAUCAUGUAUCUGCGUGGCCCAUACAAUACAGUUAUGAGCAACUGAAGGUUUCAUAUCACCAAGGUUUUACAAAAGUAAAAGGUUUCUGUUUGGUGGGCAUAUUACGUCAAUAUACUUUUAUUGUAGAUUACACAAGGGCCAUGACAUGGCAUGUGCUUGGUGCUCUUUAAGCUGCUUAUCUUGAAGAUAAGCAAAGUUCUGUUUGGUCCAAUGAUGUUUUCUGUUGGUGGGUUACUCAGGCAAGAUUGAUUGUGUUCGGUUCAUAAUCACUUAGUCACCUAGCCCACCUGUCAUUCUCUUUUGGCUAAAUUGCCACAAUUGUGUCCAUCACACUUUGGCCAACCAAGUAACCAUAUGCCAUGACUCUCGAUUCAUGUUCCUUUGUGUGCGGGCGCCGCACGGGGUUGGGGUGGUAGGAUUCCUUGCGGUUUCGGACGAGGCUCGCGUUGGCGGGGAGGGAUGCGCGAAACUGCCUGCCGAGCGUCCUGAUUUCCGAUGGAUGCUUGGGAAUUGUGAAGAUCUUUUUGGUUGUGUUGUGCCGUACCGUGUCCUCAUCGGUGGCUGGUGCGUGUACCCGCCGCCCAUGGCAGAUAGUAGGGGAGCUCUCUGUCCGUCCGCGCCGCCGGCGACGAAGGAGGAAACGACGAGGAGUCAUUUUUUUAGAAUGGGGCAUGGGAGGAUUCGAGCGGAGCAGGAAGAUGGCGAGAUGAUGAGCCUUAAUGGUGAUGGUAUUUGAGGUUGACAGUGGGCCUCUUAAUUGUGUUAGAUGUACAUUAUGGAGGCCCAGUCGGGAAAGCCCACUGAGAGCCACUGCUGUCUGACGGGUGGGCGCACACAGAUGGCCCCUCUAGGAGACGGAGAGGGAGAUGGCGGCGGCGGCGGCAGGUGCGGCGUGGCAUCAUAUUCGCGGUCAGCGAUGGCGAGAGCGCGCCGCGUAGGAGGAUGGUUGGGAGGCUGAGCGACAGGCAGCGUCGUGGCGCAUGGCCGCACCCGCACCACAGGUGAAGCAGCAGCCGCUAGGGAGCUGAGGCAAGCCGCAAUCGUCCCUUAGUUUCUGUAUACUUCUCUUGUCAGCUGUCACCAUAAUUGUCAACAGAAAUUGCCAGUUUUGGUUGCUAAUCCCGCAGGUUAGCACAGUAGGCCGAAAAACGUUGUAUCAGCCGCUUUGGCUCUUCUUCUAAGAAAAUGAUGCAUCUUUCCAUGUUUAUUCUAGAAAGAACAAAAGUAGGAGAUGCUAGCUUUGUAAAAUUAUUCUCAGAUGGUGCGACACUGCGACUGCUCCGUAAAAAUGUGCAACUCAAGCAGAAAUGUUGUGUGUGCGUUAGUUUAGAGGGAAUUGUUUGGCCAUGACCCUAAAAACAGGAACCUAUUUGACCAUCAAUUUGACCUUGCAAUGUUUUUCAAAUUUAUCCAUGAAUUUGAAUUUGAUUGGAUUGGAUUGCAUGACAUAGUAGUUAAAUGGAUGUUUGGUUUGUCUACACAAAGACCGGUAUGUUUGAUUCAAGUGAUUGCCAUAUCAUCCUUACAUUUCCCCUAUCAGUUUACCAUUGUGAUUAUAUUAGUGUAUUUGCCUUGGCAUUAUGGCAAUGUCCCUCAUUGUAUCCAUGAAAUGCUUGUUUUAUUUGCGUGCACUGUAAUAUGUUUUUGGGAGUCUAUUUCUGCUCAGCUACGUUUAAGAUACUGUUCCUUUAUGCAUAGGAUACAAUGCUUAUAAUAUAUAGUUGUUUAGCUGCUAACUCAUCACACUGGUGUGUGGUUUCGCAGAUUCACACGGCAAUCAUUUUGUACAACUACUCUGGUCAUGAGUAAUGUUAAUGUAACAUAUAAUGGAUCUUUCCAUUUUAUGGCUUCUCCAUACGUUUUCAACCCCAGUCUCUCGAAUCCUUGGUGCUUAAUAGAAAAAUCACGGUGCUAGUCAAUGUAGGUUAUGCGGAAUGGCCUCACAUGAAUGAGCCUACCCAGUCUUAUCUUGUGUAACUUAACAGUUGAAGUAGUAAUAAUUGCAGCAGGUUUUUGAUGUUCACCUAGUGUUGCCAUGCAUAAAAGAUUUAAAAAAAACAAGAUAAAUAUUGGUAGGAUGUUGGUGCUCAAAUUUGACCAUGUGAUAUUGUGAUGCGAUUCUAACUUCUGCCUGGUCUGACUCCUGUGUGUACGGUGAGGAGUGCAGAUCUACUGCCUUUUGUAGUUCUGUAUGCUAAUGGGAAACCAUAUAUAAGAUGAAGGCCCUUGUGUUUCGCUGAGGUAUGUGCAUUAAUCUUGACAUUAUUGUCAGUCGAAACUGUGUCCCUUACAUUCUACUCCCUCCGUUCCUAAAUAUUUGUCUUUCUAGAGAUUUCAACAAGUGACUACAUACAGAGCAAAAUGAGUGAGUCCACGCUCUAAAAUAUGUCUAUAUACAUCUGUAUGUGGCAGUCCAUUUGAAAUCUCUAAAAAGACAAAUAUUUAGGAACGGAGGGAGUAGUAUUCUAUACCUGAUACUUACGUUACCAAUUCUUUUGAGCUUUGGUCUGCACAUCCUUUGUAUCAAUAUCGUUGUGUUCCCAAGUUGUGACUCUUACAUAAGUACUUAUGGCAGUUGUCAACCCUUGUUGAUUGUCUCAUUGGUUGUUUGCAUAACUUUCAUGUUCUUACUGAGCUAGAGUUUACAUGCUAGAAUCUGCAUGCAGAAUAGAGAAUACAUCCCUUUGCUCUAUUCUUUUCUGCUAUGUUUCACUUCCAGUAGGUUGUGUGUUAUCUAUUGUUUAUAUAUCACACAUCUUGCAAAUAUAAGUGUAGCAUUUAUUCAUUUCAUAUCCAGCAUCUGCCAGGUAACUUUUACCUGAAUAUUGAGAUAAGUGCCUUGUAUUGUUACUACUAUUUUUCCUUUUUUUUAAGUAUUUUAGUGCAUCAACUUUGUUCCCUAGAUGAUUGAUUUCAAACUUUGUACAGUUAGCAUAAUCCGUUAUUUUGUUUGUCUCACUAUCCCAAAAUGUCAGUGUUAUAGCACGAAAUUGACACUUGUUUGGUUGUGGGCUGGAAAUAAACAGUGGCGCUUCUUUUUGCAGGUUAUUUGUUUGACAUGUAUGACCGAUACUUAGUCAAAUUGGACCUCCAGUUCCUUCCUGGUCCGUCCAAGGUAAACUGAUGGCUCGUGCUAGGCGAUUAAUCUUGUGGGUCUCAGUUUCUUAUAUAUCAAUCUGAAACCAUCAAUUUGCAAAUUAUUCCUUGCUUAUGUUACUCCAUGGGUGAGAAUGGACAACUUGAUUAAUUGUUUCCCAGGCUUUACCUGAUACACUAUGAUGAGCCUAUAUUAGAACUGGAAUUGAUUUUUUAAAGUUAAAUGUUGUAUGAGAUGCUCUAGUUUGUCAUUUUGUACCGUAACUUAUC
rnacentral:lncRNA from 1 species